rnacentral:lncRNA from 1 species
UUUUUUUUUUUUUUUUUUUUAAGGUGUGUCCCGCAGGGAGUGGACCCCGCAGACUAUUCACCACCCUCAACAACUUGCUGGCAGCAAGGUUCGAACCAGGGACCUGAAGCCCCAUCUUCAGCAACCUCAACCACCAGACCAAGCCCCUGAGGGCAGUCUUUUCAUUCUUGACAAACCUUUUUUCAAUGUCCUGAAGGAACUUUUUAGCGGUUACAGUCGUUUCUGACAUUGUUCCCCUGAAUGCUUUUGAAACGGCCUUUUUAAUGAUCAUCAGACACAAGCGAUUUGAUCUCUCCCACCUCUCAUUAUUUCUCUUUUCAUCAGAGGUACUCUGAUCUGUAAGAGGUGAGGGAGAAUCGUCCCUUAACGCAAGGUCGAGAUCCAUUACUCCAAGUACUAUCAAGAGAUUUUCUUUCCAGGACUUGAAGUUUGUGCCAUUCAGCAUAGGAAUGUUAUUGAUGUUGGCAGUAAUAUUUGUAAGAUCAUUUGCAACUAAACAGAAAACAUAAUAUAAUUAAAACAAUGCUCACAUAAACCAAAAUAAUAAUAAAUUUAAAUAAUGGUAACCCCAUCUCAAGAUAUCGAUAUUCCAUUAAUAUUUUAUCUUUGGACAAAAUAUUAACUUCUAAGUGAUAUCUUGGCGCAGUAAUAAACACUGACAAUAAUAACAUGUCAAAAAAUAAAUUUUCCUUUGGACCAAUUUAUAAUUCACAUGUAAAAGCCGAAUAAUUAUCACAUGUUUAUUACCACAAGUGCACAUGUAAUUUCAUUAAAUAUUGACCUUCUUUUGGGCCGAUCAAUAUUCAUAAAAUUACUAGUACCCAACCAGUUAUAUUUUAAAAUAAAUUAAUUUUCAUAAUAGAGGUCACUUUGGUGGCAUAUUAUUUCCACUAAUUUAUUCCAAAAUAUAUAUAAUCAUACCAAUAUUCAAAUUUAAAAUUAUCCAAAAUAAAUGAAAAUUUUAAUCAAAGUCAACUUUGGUCAACUUUGGUCAAAACGUGGUCAAACAUGGUGAAAUCAAUUAAAUUGAAUCAUGACUUAUUAGACCAAAGGUCCAUAUCCAUAAUUUGACCCAAAAUUAUCAUUCAAGCCCAAAAUUUCUUGAAAUCCAUAAGUACUUUAUAAAAUUAUAUAUAUAAUGGGCCACAUAUAUGGAUUUUAUAGGGCUUAAAUGUCCUAUUUAACUUUAUUAGGGUUCAAUUAAAUUAAAGAACCUCUAAUUUUCUUAACAUAAAUAUAUUGAAAAACGGUGAAUUGGCCAAGCAAAAGUGCAAAACAUCGAAGCCAAUAACCAUGAUUUGACCAUCAUGGAACCUUGGUCCACAUUUGUUCACAAAUUCACACAACAAUCAUCAAAAGUAAAAGGCACGUGAAUGACAUAAGCAAACAAGAAGUCUGGAUUCAUUGGCCAUGCAUCAGAACAAAAGUGAUUGCAAAUCUAACAAUCCGUGAACUAAAAAUUGUUAACAUGAAAUAAAAUUAACUUGUCCAUAAUGGUGGAGGAAAGGACAAAACACUUCCCGUGGCCAGAGGACAAAUUAGAUUACAUCAUCACUUGAUUCAUGUUUUAAGUAAACAUAAGGUGAAAAUCGUAUGAAGACUUAUGUCUCAAAAGCAUUGAGAUUGUUGGAAGAAUUUGACCGAAGGCCAAAAGUAUCACAGUUCUGACCAUGAAUUUGACCGAAGACAAAAAACACAUAAAUUGCAUCAAACUAGCAGUUCAUGCCUAUUAACUUACGCAAGCACUCAUGAACAUAAAAAAUCGUAUGAAGACUCAUCCAACAUGGGACCAGAACCCACAGUUUUUUUUUUUUUUAAUGAAUCAGAGGCCGAAAAACCAAAAGGCAUGCGUGGGUUCUCAAUCAGCUGUCAGCAAUUAUAAAAGGGAUGCAAUUAUCAAACCAUCAGCAACCAAAGCUUGCAAAUCACUAAAUCAGCCGUACAAAUUUACUACAAAUUACUAAAUCCAAAUUAUUUCCUAAUAAUCAACCAUAUGGGCUCUGAUACCACUUGUUAGGGUGGUUAUCUAAAUCCAACCACUGGUGAAAACCAUCACCUUUAAACCCAAGAUCUGUAUGGCGAUUAUUAAGAAAUAAAUUAACUGUAAAAUAGCGGAAGCGUACCUGAAUCCAUAUUGAUAAACUUGAUACUUGAAUCCCUUAGAUAUUUGGGGUAGCCUUCCAGGUCAACAGGUAUUCACCAAUCCUUUGAGAGAGGCCUUUAGUUUCUCUCUGGUAUCUUUCCUGACGAUGGGAUAUCAGGGAAGGGCUGUUUUGUGGUAUUAGAAAAUACGACAACUAAAACGAUACCUGUGACCUGGGGACUAUAACCCUAUUUAUAGGCAACAUUCCUGUUAUCUUUUGGAACCCUAUUUCAGCCCAUCAUUGAAAUAGGAGCCCAUAAGUUUCUACACAUUAAAGGGCCCACAUCCUAUUAAAUACAUUAAACCCAAACUAUAUUUGAUCACUUUAAUUGGGUUUAACCUUAAUUGACAGUUUGCAAUACAUAAUUAUUCACAUAUAAGUCCAAUGUUGGAUUAAGGAUCCAACAACCAUCACUUCUUAUCACAUGUAUCCUGUGAGUUUCUACAAUGGCCGUAAAUAUGCAACAUAAUGCUGAGCAUAUUGUAGCUAAUGCAAUUCCAGUUGCUGAUGCAUACCUUCUUCCGACUGCCACUUUCAUACAAUUGUACACACUUUUAAAACCCAUCUUCGCUGCUUCAUAUAGCAACAUAAGGGUUGAAUCAGGAAACUUCAAUUUCCCAACCUUGUAAUUCAGGUGGCUUGCUUGCUCUACGAAGUAUGUGUUUCCUACGGAAGUAACUACAGAACAAAUUAUGCAGGUGAUCCAAACUGGAAGCAUACAGAUUCUGAUCCGUCUUUCUUGACUUUGAGUCCUGAAUCUGAUAAUAUCCCUGUCAGAGAACCUAAGCAAAGCAAGAGAACAGCAAAAAAUUCCUAUGGUCAGAAGUUUCAUUAUCUCUUACUUGAGAACAAAGAAAUAGAUCUGUAUUUGAUUUAUGGAACACCCGACACUCUAUUCCUUUUCAAGUGAAAGUUGAAAAACAGGGAAGAAGGGCAAAAAUUAAGACUAUGAUCAGGAAGAGGAAGAUGAAAAAGGAAGGAUGUGUGGGAUGAACCCAAGUCUGCUGCCCUGGUAUUCGCAUGAACCCUGAAUGAAAAGAAGUGUUGCCGCCAGUGUGAAAAUUGCUGGAAUUCCAAACCGAAGUUUCCAUGGCUGUAUGUAUGGGAGUGCAAUUAGUGCAAUAACUGCGACAAUGUGCACAAAGAUAACGCCUAAUGAUCUUAGGCCAGAUAUGCCGCUUCCGUUUCUUUGGUUCUGUCUCUUAACAAGCUCCAUCAUUGCUUCUACUGGUUUAAACUGAAGUUUUGAUAUAUCCUCUUCAGGUUGAGGGCUUUGUUGCCUGUUGCUUGUUUUAUCAACAACUUGACUCCCUUCAAGCUGAUCCAAUGCAAAUGCAGCUAAUGAGACAAUGUGCCCACCCACUCCAACAGCUGUCAACGCCAGACCUGUGUAAAAGAUAGCCUUCUGUGUGUGACCAAUGCAAUUAGGCUGGUAAUUAGCACAGGUGUGCGUUAACUUGUGCAGUGCUGGUGGCGUAGACAUUGAUAGAAAACCCAAGCCCUGCUCAUAAUUUUGGAUAAUCAGUUCAAGAAAGUCCGGUAAAACUGGAAGCUAUACUUCUAUCAAGUUAGGCCGUGAAAUUGAUGACUAAAUGGAAGGAGGGGAGGAAGAACUGUGAAUGAAUUUGCCGACAGGAGAACUUACAGAGGAAAAGGCUAUACUCGAGAGAAGCAGUAUCCAGUAGUUAUCCACUCCAAAGUCCCCAAAUAAGAAAAGAAUAAAAGGGACCAAUUUAGUUAGGCCAGUAUAUACAUUCAUUAUUCCUGCAGCAUGAGUAAACCCAACUUUCCAAACAUCUGUUAAGUACUUCUGCAUUAUCCACGUCACGUAAGUCUCCAACAAAUCAGCCCAUAUUAGAACUGUUAAGACAACAAAAAAAGGAGUUAGCAUUAAGUAGACAAGAAUGAUUGUUCAAGCAGAGGAAGUUAAAGAAUGACAAGGCCUUUGAUGACUCUGAGAUGAAUUAAAAGUACCCAUUAUUCUGACGAAUGCCAUUGAUUUUUCGAACUUCUCGUUGAAAUCCUGAGUGUGAGAAAAAUACUAUCAGAACAAGGGAAGCUGACGAUUAGAGCAGUUUCAGAACCAUAUGGUGGCCAUAGCAAGCUGAAAGAAACCAGAGUUAAUAGUUUGGAUUGAGGUUUUCUUUAAUUACCUCCAACUGCUAUGUGUGCUGCUGGUCUGCGAGGGAAAAAGAGAGACGGAGAAACUUCUCUGCAAUAAGUCGUUGUUAGAAAAUUGGUUUAAUUUCUUUUAAACAGAUUCCUAAUUCCUUGUUUUGUGUGAAAGUAACUAGAUUCCUAAUUGAUUUUAGUUACUUAAAGUAGUAGUUAAGGAAUUUCCUAUGUGUAUGAGUUUAGGAAAAGAAGUUAUUUCCUAUUCUAAAUCAGUGUAGGAAUUAGCAUUGAUUUCCUAUUGUUAUUUGGAUUUUGUCCAAAUAAUGUUCCUUAUAAAUAGGUGAGUUAGCAUACUACAUACAAGGGCACACAAGGGGCGACAUGUAGCCUUAUACAUGGGUGGUGAAAGAGGGUUCUUGGGAGAUGAGAGAUGAUAUGCAAGAAUUGGGUUUGGGUUCAAGUUGUAUUAUUGUAUAGAGUUUUUCUCUCAUAAUAAAGAACGAAUUUCUCUUCGUAGAUGUAAGUUUAAUGGUGGAGUCAAAUUAUGUUAAAUAUUAUGUGUCGUUUAUCUUUCAUACUUAUGGCAUUUUAUCAUUAAAUUGUUGUAUACUUGAUAUUCCAAUGGUUGUUUAUUCCGCACUUGAAUCCUAACAAGUGGUAUCAGAGCUUGAUUGUGAGACUGGGUUGCUCACAAGCACUUGAAUCCCAACCAACUAAAUGGUUGGAUCAAGAGUUUGGUUGUUCAAGGUUGGAUCCUGGUUAACUAUUGAGAUCAAGUAGAUUGGUGGUUGUUACCAAUUGAACAAUUUAAUGGGUGGUAUUCUUAUUUCAAGAGUUUGGUAAGAAACAUUGAAAGUGAAGAAUAGAAAGUCGAAAAGCAUGGAGAUACUUGAUAGUGAAUCUAUGCAGGUGAUUUAAGAGUCAAGAAAAAGAUGGAAUCCAAUGUCGAUUUUUUAACAUAAAUCGUUGGGUUGAUAUCUGCUUCGUAUGCUGUCUGUCCUUCAACUGUAUAUCUAUUAGUCUCCACUAGGGGUGAGCAAACGGUACAAAUUCGGUAAUUCGGUUAGCUGAAUUCGGUGAAUUCGGUUAUUUGACUUAUAGAAAUCAAAAAUACUUUCAAUUUUGAAUUGGUUAUAACCAAAUUCAUUUCGCAACGAUUUCGAAUUCGGAAAUGGUAAUGAAUUCGAUCUAACCGAAUUCAUUUAUAAAAAAAAAAAAACUGAUGAGAUAACUCUGUUAUGGUCCUGAAGGAAGUGAUUGUGUAAUUUUUAAUUUACAAAUUGGGGUUCCUAAAUUAUAAUACAUUCAUUAUGCUCCUCAAUGAUUUAAAACUUAUUACUGAUUUGAUCCUCGAAUUUAUUCAUAAUUUAACACAUUACUUAUGUUCUAAUCAUUUUGUGGUUUAAUUGGCAUUUAUUUGAUCACUUAUACCUAGAAUCCUUAGUCUAUGAUUUGAGGAACACAUAAAAAGUGAUUAAUUUAAACUAGAUUAAACCUUAGACUGUACAAUGAUUAAUGAUAAUUUAUGAAUUUAUAAUUUGCAAUGAUUAAUAAUAAGUAAUAUUAGUUACAAACUUACAAAUUACAAUGAUUAGUGAUAAGUUAUAUUAGUUACAAACUUAUAAUUUAUUUUAAAUCAAAAUAAAACUUAUUUACUUACAUAUGUUAUUGUGAAAGUCAAUACACUAAUACAUUGAUUUACAAUUCAUAUGCAUUCACUUACAUUACUUAGUUGUCUUGUCUAUACUUAAAACCUUAAGAUUAGUGAGUAGAGAAUAUGAAUUUUUAUGUUAAAUAUGUAAUGUAAAUUUAGAGCAUACUAAUACUUGCAAGUUACAGGUUACGCAUUCAAAUAUUCAAUAAUUCAAACAUGAAUGAUGUAUCAAAUUACCAAUAUCUAAAUUUCCAAUUACUAAUUAUGUUUAUUGUUUAAUAUUUAGUAUUAUACAUAUAUGUAUUAAUUAUUAUCUAAUUCUAGUCAUGUUACUCAUGUAUAAAAUAAUAAGUAUUAUAGUUAUGGUAUAUUGUUAUGUAUUACUAUAUAUUUGUAUUAUUAUAGUCAUAUAACAAUUAACAAAUACUAAAAUAUAUUGUACAUUAUUAUAAGUACAUGAUAAUACCAUGUACUAACUAUUAUUAAUAGCAUUUACCUAUAUAAUAUAAUAUUUUUUUUAGGGGUGUCCCGCAGGGAGUGGACCCGCAAGACUAUUCCCCACCCUCAACAACUUGCUGGCAGUAAGGUUCGAACCAGGGACCUAAGUCUCCAUCUUCAGCAACCUCAACCACCAGACCAAGCCCCUGAGGGCACCUAUAUAAUAUAAUAAUAUAUUAGUACUAUAUACUAAUACUAAAUAGCAUUUAUCUAUAUAUUAUAUAAUUUUAUAAAUUAAUUUGGUAUUCGAAUGUGGUAAUGCAUUUCAUUUUACCGAAUUUGAAUGCGAAAUCGGUUAUUACCAAAUUCAUAAUCUCAUUACCUAUUUCAUAUCAUAUUAGAAUUCGGUGAAUUCGGUACCGAAUUUGUAUCAAAUUACCUAAUACCCGAUUUCAAAUUACCAAAUUGCAUUUGAAUUCGGUAUGUACCGAAUUUGCUCACCCCACUCUCCACUGUCUUAUUGCAGCUUUGCUCAUGACUAUCUUGACUCUGUGGCCUCAUCUACAGCUGCACUUCCUUUCCUUCAAAGCCCAUCCUUCUAUUGUUUCAAAUGACACAACAUCGUAGCGUUGGAUAAUUUUAUAUGCGCUCAUAGUUCACAAAUUUGAUACAUUGAAAUUUGAGACCACCAACUGUGUGGCUCCAAAUUUGAACUUUUAUUGGGCUGGUCCAGUUUGCUUAGUAAACAGAAAGUUCGCCUCUCGCGAUUUACAAUCCAUCUAUUUGUCUAUUAUCAGCUAGGAAAAAUGACUUGUCUCGUCCUUUAUAUUUUGGUGAAAAAUUAAUUUUAUUGUUUACUUUUAAUAUAAAGUAAAUUAGUCCCUCAUAUUUUAAAGUGAACCAAGUUAGUCUCAAAAUAACCUGAUAUAGUCAUAUGGAUCUUACACUUAAUCAACAUAAAAAGAAAAUAAAUUUAAAAUUAUAACAUAAAUUACAAUCCAUUUUUUCUAAAAAAAAUUAAAAAUUUUAAGAAAAUGACAUUAAGCUAACGUAGAAAGGAAAAAAAAUUAAAAUUCAUAUCAUAAAAGAAACCCCCAAGUUACAAAGUUUUAUAACUAAAAAAUUUUUAACUUUUUUUUAUAGAGAAUGGUUUGUUUUAGAUGUUAUAAUUUUUAAGUUUUCUCUUUUUUAGAGAGAAUAGUUUGUUUCAGGUGUUAUAAUUUUAGUUUCUUAAGAGAUAAUUGUUUAUUUUUUAUGUUACAAUUUUUAAUUUUUCCCUUUUUAUGUUGACUUAAUAAAAUUUCCUAAUGAAGUUUUAAUUUUUAAUUUUUUAAAAGAAAAGGGUUUUUUUGUUAUAAUUUUUAAUUUAUUUCAUUUUUUAUAUUGACUUAAUCACAUGUGCAUAUCAAACAUAGUUAGAUUUGGAAGAAAUUAAAGUGACUGUUUCAAUUUCACCCGUAAAAUCUAUAUCAGGUUGUCAUUUUGGGACUAACUUGCUUCAUUUUUAAAUAUGAGAAACUAAUUUGAUUCAUUUUAAAAAUGUAGAACAAAAAACAUUUUUUCCAAGAUGUGAUGAUUGAAAUUCAUCAGACCAUCAUAUUGACUUAGAAGAAAAUAAGAUGAAGGCAAAAGGUUAAUUGAUGAUUGAAGUUCACUAUAUUAUUGAAUGAAGACGGAAAAAAAAAGAAGAAAAAGUGGUUACGGAAAUGAAGGCAAAGCUGAAAACAGAAAAGAGCCCCAAUAUGCUCUGGAAUAUGAGGUGCGAUUUGGGGAGAAGGGGUUUUUGUCGAUGGUGUAGACAAUAUGCGUUUCCUUUUUUACCCACAAAUAAAGAGCAAGAUUAUACCACUCUUUCCACCCAAAAAAAAAAAAAAAAAGAAAAGAGAAACCACAUACACAGACACUCAAUUUUAUUUUAUUUUUACAGUCCUAAUGAAACUUUUAAUAACUGCCAAUAGCUUACUAUCUUCGAAAAAGCUUAGUAUCUUCUGAAAAAAAGGAAAAAAAACUCUCAUUUAUAGGCCUCAUAAAACCCUCCAAUACUUGCCAAUUGCCAUUGCUUUUUUUUUUUUUUUGUGUUAAAGGUUUUCUUCCCACUACAGCAAGUGGUUCUUGGAUGAACCCAAAUUUUGUAGGAGGCAAGAGGCUUGGGCCAAGAUAGGACUCGUAUAAGGACUUAAUGGGCAACACUUCUGUAGGUGAUUGGAGUGAUGGCUAAUAGAAUGACAAUCGCCAACUAAUCAUUGCUGUGUGAAAAAUGUCCUUUCCGCUUUAGUAUUAUACUAGUCUGGGGGCUGCGCCAUCCGCAGGGUAGGCAAAUGUAACCCCUGUUAAUAAUUUGUGUUUGUCUAGUAAUAUUUUGUAAAGUUUGUUUUGUAAAUAUUGAUGUAGGAAAUAAUUUUAUAAUAUGUAAAAUAAUUGUGAGCUAGUUAUUUUUGAAAAUUUAGAGAACAAUGCAACCAAGUAAAUAUAACAUACAUGUUGAAUGAAGGGAAAGAUAAAUGGCAUAACUGGAAAAUAAGGCACAACUAAGGCUAAACUAAUACACAUGAACAGCUAAGGUGUCCCAUCUCUGCGGCAACAAUGAUGCAAAAUAAAGAGGAACAAAGAACAAAUAAAAUUACAAAGGAAUCAACCAACUAUAGCAUGCAUCUUCUAGCGUCCUGAGUAAGGGAGAAACAGCAAAUGGCAUUACCAAAAAAUAAGGAACUAACUAAGGCUAAUGCUAAUCACAUGAGGAACUAUCAGGGAACCGAUGCAAAUGGACCGCAAUAGCCCAAAAAUAUCAAUCAAUACCGAAAUAACCAACGGAUACACUUUUACUGUUCAUUCAGCCAACUCUCACUUUUAUAUAGUUAGAUAGAUUAGAUUAGAUUUAGAGAAUUGUUAACGGCACUCUAUCUUUUUUGCUAGUGACAUUUCCAUUAUUAUUUUUAACAUAUGAUAUUUAUUUAUUAGACUAUAUGAUAAGUAAAAGAUGGGAAUGCGAUUAACAAAUAGUGAAGUGUGUUAAUAUUUCCCUUGUAUUUAACGGAUAACUAGAGUUUAAUACAUUAAACUUUGUCGUGCUUUAUGAGUAGUGACCUUUAAAUGUAGAAAAAAAUGUAUUGUUCUUUAGUACACUUAGUGAUGAUUAGAAAGAUAAAAACUUAGUGCUAAUAUGUAUUUUUAGUGAUAUUGUACAUAAAAGCGUGUUAAGGCAAAUUCUUAAAUUUUAGUUUCAUGGACAUAUACCCACAUUACUUUACUUCAAUCAAAAUUACAUAAUCAUCAAUCAUCACAAUCAACGCACUUUCAAAUACAAUUUGCAAGAGAAAUUUUUUUCCCCAUAAAUUUCUUAAUAAACUGUGUCAAGGGCAAAAUUUUUGAAUUUAACGGAAGAUAUUUCUUUCUUGUUAUAUGAGAUAAAUGUACUUGAUAAAUUUCUUUUUUUAUAUUAUUGAAAGGAUCUAUCACAUUUGAGAUCAAGUGAAGGUGUGUAUUUUAUUUUAUAUGUGUUUAACUUAGCCAAAGAGUCUCUUUCUUGAGUAAUUUAGUACAGUCAAUUUGUUCAAAAUGACAUCAUAUUUAUAUUAUGGAGUUAUAUAUGACUGUAGACAAUGGAAUUUUAAUUAAAUUCUAAAAAUUACCAUUGGUCUAUAAAAUAUUUUUAUCCAAUCGGAUAUUGCCAUAUGGCAUGUACACUUGGAAAGUUUGGUUAUUAAAUAGCCAAUUAUAUUCCUCCACGUGUCAAGUUGAGGUGUUCCAAACCAAUUCAAAUCGCAGGGGUAUCUUCACCAACCAAAUCAUAUCAUAUCACAUACCUAUUGGAUAAAUAUCUAAGUAUUUAUUUCUUAUUAAAGGGAUAAUAUUUAGAGUUAUUUAAUCCAAGUAUAUCUCUUAUAUACUGCAAUGGCCUGGCCAGUAAAAUAGCGCCACGUCACGUGUCCCCGCAAGUCUAGCCAAUCGAGAAAUUACUUAUCUCUUUAUUAAUGAAGAGAUAAUAUUUAACUAGCACAGUCCUAAUAUGACUGUACGUCUUGCUAGGCAAGUAGAGUGGUGUACAUGAUUUCAACCUCCACCUCUUGCUACAACUAUAAAUAGAGGUCUCUCAACCAAGUUAAGGGGACACAGAGAUAUCAAGAAGCAUCUCAUACACUCAAGUAUUGAAGCUUCAAGCUACGAAGGUCUGGGUCUCAAAGCUCCUCAAGUCUUCCGCAUAUCAAGGCUUGAGCCUUCAAGUAUUUUCAAAUCCUUCAAAUCUUCCAUAUCAAGAUUUGAAGGAGUCGGUGGUUGAUCCAAGAACAAGCUGCGAAGCCCUUGGAUUGGUGUUCGAGGAGAAGAAUCGAAGGAAGCUCUCCAUAAGUUCGAGAAAACCCCAGAGAUUGUACCUACAUAUUUUUCUAAAUUUAUAUAUCAUACAUUUGUCGUGUAUUUUUCGUGUCGUUUUGCAGACUUGAAAUUUUUAUCGCGUACAAUGACAUGUUGCGAAAAGAAAAGAAAAAGUUGGCUAGUAACAUCUUGAAAACAUAGAAUGUAAAAGAAAAGGCCAUAAAUAAAAUACUUUGUUUUGUUGUGAAACUAUAUCUAAUCUCUGUUAGCAUUCAUCAACUUUAGAAUAACGUAGCUUGGAAUUUAAAAUGGUGCUAUUAAAAUCAUGUUAACACUUUGAAUAAAUUAUAAAUGAGCUCCCCUAUUGUUUAAUGCUCGUUUGUAUAAUCCUUUACUAGUUACAAAAUCAAUAAAUGACCUCCACUACUUGAGCUGCUGGAAGUCAUCCCCUGCAAAGAAGUCACUGAAAAUGUCAAGGCUACCCCAUUAAAAGGCGCCACAAAAAUUCUGAAGGUCUCUAUUUUCUUCCAUUGGCUUCUUAGUUUCUACUUUCUAUUACAAAGGUAUUAGGGAGGACAACUUCCAAUAGUUUGAUACUUUCGAAGGGUCUACGUGUAACUUUUGAAACAUAAGAGAUCGUGUGAUAAACUUUAAAUUGCAGUGAUUUAAAAAGGUAGGUUCCAUUAGUUUGAUACUUUCAAGGGGGUUGCACGUAAUUUUUUGAAAUAUAAGAAAAUCAUGUGAAAAAACACUAAAUUAUAGAUCAUUAAAAAAAUUUACCCCUAAUUCUUUCUAAUAUGGUAAAUACACAUUGAAUCAUUCCAUAAGCUCUUACACAUGCACUGAAAGAAAAAGGGGGCAAGGUGGAGAGGAAAUUUAAUGACACAAAACCCCCUAAUGUUUUGCGGUAUUAACACUUUCCUACCCAUGACAAAGAGAUUCUAUGCUCUGCUAUUAUAACUUUUGAAACACACACAACAAUUGCUGAUUAUGUCAACUGGUUAGUUUUACAUAUUAUCGUCUCUUGAAUGAAAACAAAGAAGAUGCUUGAGAUUAGGACAAAUGGGAAGAACUCCAGCUUAUGUAAUGUUAAGCAGACUGUAAAUUGACCAUUUCAUUUGCGCCUCACAACAUCUGUUUCUGAUUGUUGGGACUUCAGUUGUGGAAAAAAUCUAAGAGGGUUGUCGGAAUAGUGGUCUGACCCAAGAGGCACGAGAAACUAGGGCUAUCGAUCGAGCCUAAUGAGUCGGAUUUUCAUGAGCUUGAGUUCAACUCAUUUAAUUUAUAAUAUUUUUGGUCUUCGAGCUAUAAGUUUCGGGUUAAUAUAUGUGAAAUUCAUAUUUAACUCACAUAAUAUUCGGACUAUAAGCCUUAUUUAGGUUUAACCCAAGCUCACUUAUUACCUUAAUUUUCUAUCUUAAUAUAAUUACUAUAACUAUUAAGUUGUAAAACUAAUUUAACAUUUACAAGACUAUAAUAUUAAAACUAAGCACGAACAAAUAAUAAUUCUUCAAAAGUACAUAAACCAAAAAAUUUUCAACAAUAUUUAUAUUUAAUUCAUUCAAAAUACAUGAAAAAUAGUAAUAAAACAUGCGGUCAUAAGCCAAUACAUCUUUGAAAGUUGAAACUUUUUUAUAAUCUUGUGAUUUGAAUCCAAACAUGCUUGAUGAUUUGUGUUUCUAGAACAUAAAGAAAUCAACUAAUAUUAUACCAAUACAAAAAUUUACUAAACCAAUAAGAAAGGUAGAGAUUCAGUUAUGCAUUAUUAAUAUUGGCUCUGAAGAAAGCUCAUAGAAGAGUCUUCAGAUGUAUUUUUGUAAUUUGUAAUUUAUAUAUAUUUAGUAUUUAGUAAAAUUAUAUUUGGAUAUAUAAUUAUACAUAAUAUCAAAAUAUAAAUAUUAUAUAUAUAGGUAAGUAAAGGGUCGGGCCUAUAUCGGGUUUGAGCCUAUUGAGACCUAAAUUCGACUCAUAUUUAAUUCGAGCCUAAUUUUUAGGCUCAAUCUCAUACCGGCUCACUAAAAGGUCGGGCUAAUUGGACUUUUUGUCAAGCCGAACAAGCCGCGCACGGGCUGGCCCAGCCCCAUUGACAGUCCUACAAGAAACCAUUGUCCUUAAGGAUAAAAAUGUACCCAAAUAAUAAUAAUAAUAAUAAAUAAAAGGAAAAUGACAAUCUACUUUGACUACUUUGUUCUGCCCAUUUUCUAGUUCUUGAGAAAUAAAACGAGGACAUAUUUAUAUUUGGAAGUUUUCAAGCACAUCAAACUUAAAGGAAUUUAACAACUCAUAUAAAGGCUGUACUAUUACUUCAAAUCCUUUUCUAAUGUUAUUGAGGAUAUUUGUGUGACAUCAAUGUUUCGGUUUUAUAUUAAACAGAGAAACUUAUUGUAUUGAAUUUUCUUAUGAAACAGACUUGGAUUAGGAAGACGCUACAUAAAUGUUAAUUUGUAAAAGAGAAAAGUAAACUGAACAAGAAAUCUCAAAAACAAGAAAGCUGGUUUUAUCUCAAAAAAGAAAUGCAAAAGAAAUUUGUGUUAGGAAAUAUUCAUGAUUCUAAACUUCUAUGAACCCAACUAUAAUGAUGCGAGAAUGGAUCAAACAUCUAUUAAGUUGUAUGACAGCAUUAUGGGAAGACUUUUAAAGCAAAAUUGAAGGAAAAUUUCUUGAAUGGGUUUAUACAGGAAUGGGAGGCAGUUUUGAGGAUAAUAUUAGUUAUUUAGUCUAACUAAGUUCGACUCAAGAAAGAAAUGUGUUGUCAUUAUUAUGGCUGCCAGUGAGAUUCAAUAACAUAAUUGUGAUUGGUAACCUCUGUUUUGAAACUCGGACCGGACCGGCCGGUCGAACCGGGAACCGAUCAAGUGUCCGGUCCGAGUCAUGGUAGAAAACCGGAAAUUUAAAGCCCGGUCAAAGACGGUCAAAAAUCGGGUUUGACCGGGAAAAAACCGAUUUUUCCGGUUCAAUGGUUUCAUGUGGCCGAGACUAGUUAGUCAGCAGUCAGCACCUCGAUAAUCUAUAAAGGUGAGCGUUUAAGGUGGGACCUACGUGUCCUCGUCUCGCAGGCACCAGCUAAUUGUUAGACAAACCUGUUGUCACUUGUCAUCAGCUCAGUUUUUCUCAAUUGGCGCUAACACUACCACUGUUCGGUAGGAAUAGCAACGGGCAAAAAAAACUCAAUUUUUUCAAUAUUAUGUUUUGACCCCCUAAAUUGUUAAAACUUAUUAAUAUAUCUCAAAUAUUUCAUACUUUAUAAAUAUUGUCCUAAAAUUUGAUGUUAUUUUUCAAUUAAACUCAUAAUUUUAAUUCUAAACUUGUUAAUAUUUAUUAAAUAACAUAAAUUGCUACUUGAUUGUUCUAAUUUUUUUGUAUUUUCUUGUUAAAUAUAUUUGAAACAUCAAAUAUAUAUGAAUAUACCUUUAUUAAUAUUAAUAUAUUAUUAGAUAUUUUAUAUAUAAUAUUUUAAUUUUUAAAUAAUUUUUAUUUAUGACGUCAUCCGGUUCGACCCCUAUCGACCCCCGGUCGAACCCAUUGACCCCUGACCCCUGAUCUCGGCCGAGUCGAUAUCCGGUCCGGUUCUGAAAACAUAGUUGGUAACUCCAUUUGUAUCUCACUCCAUUCUUUCCUUUUGUUCUGACAUUGGUCAAAGGCACUAAGAAUUUUACACUUCAAUAAUAGUGCAAAUGUAUUCAUGCUUAAGUGAUUGGGAGAUGGAUAAUCUUCCUAUGGAAACUAAGAUUUACUUCUUUUUUUUUGGGGUCAUUUCUGGUGAGGGCUUCAGAAGACUACCCUGUUGAGGAUAUUGUUUGUUGAAUAUUGUUUUUGGUUUAAUUGGGUUUCCUUGGUUUGGCAUAGUAUAGUCAGUUAGAUAGGAAGCUCCAAAUUCAUAUAUUUGCAUAGGAAAACUCAGGCGAAGCUAAAAUUAAUAAUUUGAGAUUCUCCAAUUGCGUUCUCAAGUACAUGCAAGUCGAAGUUCCAAAUUCAAACUUUCCUUUGCUUCUCCAGUAGAACCAAUUUCGAAUUCCAAUCUCACAAUAUUCGCCCUUUAUCAUGAUCAUGAUACGGCCUUUUUUCUUAUGCAAUUCAAAGUUUUUUUUUUUAGCUUUACUCUUCACAGAAUCUUGAUUUAUGCCCUUUUAACACCACCAAUUUAUUGCCCCAUUUUCUCAUUUCAAUAAUGGUCGCCCGAGAAGUUGUAGGAAUGGUAAACCGGUGAUGAAAUGGAAAGUAAUGAAGAAAUCAUUUUUCCAUAUACAAGAUUUAAGUGGUUCAAAUUCGAGGAGUUUUUUUAAAGUAGCAACAGACAAUCUACUGACUCUAAAGAGAAACAGGCCUUUGUUUUGCUUAAUUUGUUGGUUGUCUUGGACCUUUCCCUUGAAAGGAACGAUCCUAAUUUUCACCACUAAAUAUUUUGCUUGUAAUAUGAGCACGAGUUUAAAUGGCGUCAUGAUCACAGGAGAUUGUCUAAGCCCGAAUGAAGACUUCAGAAUGUGGAGAUUGAAUUAAUUCAUACGAUUACUGAAGGUUUUUCAGAAGAAAUGCUGGUUUUUAAAGUAUGGAUUAUUGAAGUUCCUAACAAGAAAAGCGUGGUUUUUCCACAAUAAUACAAGUCUCAGCCAUUUCUCCUUCCUCGACCAGAGUCAUCAAAUCAAGAUUUUUAUUAUUUUUUUUAAAUAAAGGAAGGUUUUUUGCAGUCGGGAACUGGUAAACUUAUCUAGACUAGAAUAAGUGGUUAUGAAGAAAAGAGCAUUGAUAAUUAGUCUGCAUAGAAAUGGAACGCUUCCUCGACAAACUUUAGAUGCCUUUGCAUUUGCAUUUUCACUUCUCAAUUAUUGUAACUUUAGAUGCUUUUCAAUCAUUGUUUUUGCUUGGGCCUUCAUCAUUUUUUUUUUUUUUGGUUGUUGGAAAAUAUAUGAAUGGUUGUUCCACCUAAGAUAUGUCCACAACAAUGAAAUUAUAACAAAAAAAACGAGAAUUACGUGAAAUUGUUGUUUUGGCAACUUUUAUCUAAUUGGUAAGUCAUAUUAACUUAAUAUUUUUGACAUUUAUAUGUCACAAACCUUACAAAUUUGGAUGCUUUUGCAUUGGCAUUUUCACUUUAACUUUCUCAACCAUCGUUGUUUUCUGAUUGAAUGCUGGGGCCUUCAACUUUUUUGAUUGUGGACAAUAUCUCAAUGAUUGUUGCAUUCGCGAAGGACAAUUAUUAAUUUCCAAGUUAAAAUUGUUAAAAGCAAAAUAAGAACUAUAAUUGCUCUUUGGAAACAUUAAUUUCAUUAGUUUAUCCUUGGAAAAUGAACUUGAAAUAUACUUUGGUCUUAAUUAUUGGUCCUCAAGAACUCGAAUUAAAAUAGACAUCUUAUUUUCUUUGGUUUUCUCAAGAGUUGGGGGCGACAAACCUUAUUUGGAUUGUAUAUAUGAAAUUAAUUGACUCGACAAUUUUACAUUGAGUAUUUUCAUUAGCCAAAAACUAAGUUAUGUUUUGCAAACAUAUAUGUUAUGUUUUGCUUUUUGGCUCAAUAAUCAGGCUUGUUAUUUUAAAUUAACAAAUAAUUAUUAGGCCUUCUAAAUGAUUAUAAUGGGGCGGAUUUGUCCAAAAAGCUCCCCUGCCCCCGCCCCGAUACCUCGCCACCCUUACUCGCGCCCCAAACCCACUCCAACUUCUAUGAUUUCUUGGCCGAAGGACACAUAUCAUGUUUGUCAAAGAAGUCCAACUGCCAAUUCAGGCCGACUGGCAAGAAAAACGCUCUAUCAAUUUGAUUCUAGCCCAAGCCCCAGUAAACCAAGAAAAGUAGAUAGCCAUUGGUGUUCACCCAGUGAAAUGCAAAAUCGGAUCCUGGAAAAUCUGAAAGAAGAAGAAACAAUGAUUCCAUUGCUUAAACCUCAAAGCGAUUUUCUGUGCUCAGACAUACUAUGGUAUAAAGCUUCAUUUCUUUUACAUAAAAGUCAUUAUUUUCCUUUGUUAGCAAAUCAGCAAUAAAACUGAACUCUCCCUCCAAGAUGCCUUUACACAUUGGCAAUUCCAGCUAUACAUAUGGCGGCUGGUCCUGAAGAAGUCGAAUAAUACAAAUUGAAUGCCACGAAUUGCUGAUCCCAAUACGCAUGAAAGAUGAAUUAGAUGGCAAUCUGAGGCAAAUGAAUACGCUACCAGCUACAUGUAAGGCGGUGAAAUUGGAUAGAAAUUUCAACCCAUAGAACCAACUAGCACAAGUAGCAGAAAUAUGAUGAAGGAAGCUGGACUGCGACACACACUUAAUAAGCAUCACAUAAUCUAAUUCUUAAAAACUCUUGCAAAAUGGCAAACCCAAGAAAAUCUUGUGCAAAAUAAGGCGUGACAGUCUGAUUGAUGCGAUACCAAAGUGAGUUUAUCAUUGCGAUUCAACCAGGAACUUGACAUUAGUUUCAUUAAGUUAGCAGAGAAGAUAAUGAAGACUGAAGAGCAGAGCCAAUCGAAACUCUUAAAAUUGAGAACUAUAGGUCAAGGCUUCAUUAAACAGGUGAUUGGAAAUGGACAGAAAACCAACUUUUGGUGUGAUCGAUGGCACCCUCUGAGAACUUGCUUUUCUGCACUUCUCUGAGAACUUGCUUGCUGGCUUCAAUCCAUCGAAGUCUGAUCCUGCAGCAAAAUGUUUCUGUGACGGUGCUUGGAAAUGGCCUAGUGGGAGGAAGUCUAAUGUGGAAGUUAGAAGGCUUCGACAGCUCACUUCUUGUCAACCAGCUCUUAAUCCAAAGGAGAGAGAUGUCGCUGUGUGGGCACCCUGCAACUCAGGCGUGUAUAAUGUCAAGUCUGCUUUACAAAUUCUUAGGCUUGCAUCACCUGAAGUCCCCAGGUACAUGCUGGUAUUGGGACAAGGGAUAAAUCCCUAAGUUCUCUUUUAUUCCAUGGGUGCUGUGUAGAAAAAGGCUGAACACUAAAGACAGAAUGAGGAAAUGUGGUUCUUUUGCAUGCUCUGUAUCAGCAGCGGUGUGGAGUAAAGUUCUGUCCAUGUGCCUGUCCCCUAGGAGGCCCCAACUGUGGUCUUCAGAACUGUCCUGGAUAUGUGAACAUUGGAAAUCCCCUUCGCUCAUUGACAGGUUUCGCAGAACAGCCUUGGCUGUCUCAACAUACUACAUCUGCAAAGCAAGAAAUCUGGUGAUCUUCCAAUAGGAAACAGUAACCUCCACGGGUAUAGUUGCCGAAAUUAUAGAUACUUCUAGACACUAGUAAUAGUUCACGUGCUUUGCACGUUAUUGUAAUAUCUUAAAAUGUAUUAUUCUUUAGAUACUAAAACUUUUUUAUGAAAUUUUGAUCACCAACAUCAUAAUAAUAAUAUUUUUAUAUUAUUUAUUUUUUUAAGCUAGUUACUUUUAAAAUUUUUAUUAAAUGAAAAGAGACAGAAAACAUUCCAAUGUAGUUGACAUAUCGUUUAGGAUUAAAUUUGAAAUUAUGACCCAAACACUUUUUAAUUUAUAACUUGAACUCUAACAUAUCAAAUAUUGAUAAUAUCAUGUUUUACCAAAAUUAUUGUAUAUUCAUGAUUCUAUUGCAUAUAAACUACAAUCAUCACAAUUGUUUAUAAAUGAAGAAUAUAAUUAAGUUAGAAAAUUAAACAUACAUGUAAUUUGAAUUCUUUGUAUUAUAUUAAUUUAGAGGUGGCAAUUUGUCCCAAGUCCCAAUGGGUUACCCAUGCCCAUGGGGACUUUGGGCGGGAUGGGUACUGAAAUUUGAUAUUGGGUUUAAAAUGGGACAAAUCCCAAUUGUACCCAUUAAUUGAUGGGAAAUCUUGGGAACUACUUGGGUACCCAUUGGGCUCAAAAAGCAAGGGCUCCGUUUGGAUUAGUUAUUUUUGGGGGGUGUUUUUGAAAUAUUUUAUUGUAGUAGUGUAUAUGAAAAAUUUUUACUAUAAAUUUUUUUUUUGAAAUAUUUGAUAUACUAAUAUAGAUGGGAUAUUUUUUGAAUUAUUGUAUAUUACUGUAAUAUUGUAUUUGAAAAACUUAUUUUUUGAAAAAAUAGCCAAUCCAAACGGAGUCUUAGAUUCAAAAAUUAUCUUUAACAAUUUUUAUAGUCAUACUAACGAAUAUAAUCUAGUAGUCUUCCUAGUCAAUAUCCACAAGAAUUUCCAGCAUUUCAGUCAAUUUAGACCUGUCAUCCUUGGACAAUGAUGAGAAUAAAUAUUCAACACCCUGAGUACCUUGACCAUCUUGAUAUAUGUUGGAAUAUGGUUGUAUAUCUAUUUUUUCCUUUAUUUGUUAAUCCAAUUUUUGGCGGGAAUCUUGAGUAUAAAGUACUUGCAUGUUUAUUUAAUAAAACUAAAAGAAAUUUAAUAAAUAAAAAAUAUUAAAUUUAUAUAAAAAAUAAAAAAUGAAUUAAAGGAAAAAAAAUAGGUAGAAAAUAGAUUUGGGUAUUGGGCGGGAUCAAUCUAAACCCAUCCCAAAGUGAUCCCGCCCAAGUUAGUCCCAAAACACGUAUGGGUAAGGUUGGGCCCAAACCCAUAUGACUCGAUUCCAUCUCAAACCCAAUCAAAUCCCGCCCAUCCCGCCCAUUUUGCCACCUCUAUAUUAAUUCUAUUUUUGUCAAUAAUGGAGUCAAAAUGAUCCACCACGUAAAGUUUUUUUGGUUUGUACAUUCUAACAAUUGAAAUUUUAUAGAUAGAGAUAGUUGAAGUUUUUUCUAUUUUGCUUUUCUUUUAUUCAUGUUUUUAGCACAAUCCAAUGCGAAACAAAAGCAACAAGUCUACUUUUUUCAUAUAAGCACAAUAUUUUUGGUUUUAGUAUUAGUUUUUUCUAUGAUCAUGGAAUUGGAAUGAGAAUUGUGACCAAUUAAUAAUUUUAAUAUUAAUUUUUUGGUGUUUUAUUUUUUAAUUGCCAACUUUUAAUCCAUAACCGCUAUCAUUAUUAUCAAUUAUUGGAAUGCACUAAAUAUGUCUAAUUACAAUUGUCACCAUAAAUGAAAUUUACUUAAUUUUAAAGCUUUUCAUUUCAUAACCGCUUCCAUUAUUCACUAAUAUUGCAAUACAAUAAAUAUAUGUAAUCAUUAGAAAAAUAAGGGUAGUUUGAACAUCACCAAAAACAAUUUGGAUAUCAUUUCCAUUUUAUCAUUCUUCAUUUUAAAUUUACCCUUAUUAUAAUUCUUAUUUUAUCAUUAGGGAUGACUUCUGACUUGAUGGAUGGACUUGGUUUGCUCAAACCAAUAUUGUUUGUCUUCCCCGAGAUCAGAGUCAUUUUGAUGUUGUCUUUGGUAUUAUUUGAAUUGUAUUCUAGUUUUUUAAUUCAUUUGCUAUUUACUUUAUGUCAUUUUAUAAAUAGUUUACAAUUUUUUUUCAAUUUUUUUUGAUCGGUUGCUAUUAAUGAUGAUAGUGGUUUGUAUGGUUCUAUUUUAGAUUUUUUUCCAGUUUAAUACUACUAUUUUAGUUAUAAAGGAGUCAUCAAUUUUUGUAUAUUGAAAUUCCAUUGGGUGCAACAUAAAAAAUUCUUCAUAUUGGUAAAAAGAGCAUAAUUGUAAAAUUUACUCGUGAUAUAUGUAUGAAGACAUACAGAUGAAUAAGGGUUCACUUGUCCUUAUAUGUUUCUCCAUUUUCUAGAGAGUAUCUAUUUUUUGAGAUUGAUUUUUCUUCUUACAAUGACAACUAAUGACUCAUGAGAAAUUUUUCAUGCUUCAAUUAAGAAAUUUUGAUAUGUAUAAUAAUUGGGAAUGGAGUCCAAGAGUAGAUAAAUAGUUUUUAAUGAGCAAUUUUUAAUUCUAAUUACCAAUACUAUUAAAAUGUAAUUAAUUGGAGUGUUUUAUUUCUUGUAAUUAGUGCCAUAUUAAAAUACAAUAAUUCUAAUUAAAAGACAUGAGGGUAAUUUAGGGAUAACAAAAACUAAGAUAAAACCGUGCUUACACUUGCACUCCCUAAAACCAACAUUCAUACUUUUUAUAUAGUAAUGACAAUUAUUCUAAUUACCAAUACUAUUGAAAUGUAAUCAAUUGGAGUGUUUUAUUUUUUUUAAUUAGUGCCAUAUUAAAAUGCAAUAAUUCUAAUUAAAAGACAUGAGGGUAAUUUAGGGAUAACAAAAACUAAGAUAAAAAAGUGCUUACACUUGCACUUCCUAAAACCAACAUUCAUACUUUUUAUAUAGUGAUGAUAUUGGUGUUUCAUGGAGAUGGGUGCCACAGACUCACAACAACUGAUUAUUGAGUGGGGAAUCUCGGAUAAAUGCUUUGAGUAUAUAGCUGAUGUAAAGGUGGACUUUGCCACUGUGUAAGUACUGAUCCUUUCUAUCAAUAAAAAUGAACAAGUUUUGCUCCAAAAAAAAAAAAAGAAAACAAAAGAGCCAAUCCAUACAACCAAAGAGAUGCAGAGACUAUGAAGGUGCUCAAUUAGAAAGUAGGAGGAAAACUAAUAGUUGUUGUUGUAAUUGCAACUUUACAUAUCAUCUGAACAUCAGAUUAUGUCUAGAAAAGGGAAGCACGAAAAAUGUAGAUAUCUCUGGUCAAUAGUUAAAGAUACUACAACAGUUUUUGGCAACUAAGUAGAAGCUAAUUUCAGAAACGAUGAGUCUGAGACAGAAUAGCAAAUUCACUACAAUAAUCAGUGAAUUAUUAGUACUGCCACAAAUCAUGACUAAAACUGCUAUAGCUGAUUGACAGUUUGAAGGCACCAUAUUUGCAACAAGAAAUCAAGAAGCUUUGGCCAGCAGAGACAAAGGAAGUGAAAAAGGCAGUGCCAUGAUGAAAUUCAAGAAAGGAUUAUCCAAAGAAAAGGCGGUAAUUAGGAGCCGUCAAAAUGUCUGUCUGAGCUUUAAGCCUACUGUCACUGCAAAACAGAAAUACUAGAAUCGGGACACCACAUAGCAAAUCAUAAGGCUUAACUGGAAAUUGCAUGACAUUAAUGUUUAGCAAUUAUUCAGAAAGCUAAUUCAGUAUUUUUUUUUUCGCUGUUCUUUUCUAACCUAAAUUAGUAAGCAGAUAUCAAAUCUUCCUGCUCAGUCUACAAGUACCAGUAGUGCCAUAGACAUUACACCCGUUUGUGUUUGAAACACUGAGAAAAGUGUUGUUCUAUAACAAUAUAGUUAUAAUAUGCGGCACCAACAAGAAUGAAAGGCAGAGACAGGUCCAGACAGAGUUGCCAUGAAUGCGAACUCUUUCAGACCUGCAAGAUACAAACGUCUUAAACAUGACAAUUUUUUAAGGUUUUAGUUAACUCAUUGCAUAUUGAAGUGGUUAAAACCCAACUAUUAAGUAGUGGAAGAAGAUUAUCGGUACUGUAAAUUAUCAAACCACUAAUUUCACAACCAAGGGCAGUGAGAGUUCCCUCAAUUGUCCGUUCCGAUUUAUACCGAGGAGAAUCAGUAGAAUCCCAUCAUUCAAGAGACACGAUAGAGAAUGCCAAUAACCGGGUAAUUUGGAGCAAGAUGACAAUUACAUAUUCAAGAGGUGAAAGUUUAGAGCAAGCAUUUCCACUUGCUCCCUUCAGCAAUCAUAGCGUACAACUGGAAGCAGCAGACAUCUGGUAAAAGUAAACUGCUAGUUUUUAUUUAAAACAAAGAAUUUUGUACCGUAGACGUAAAUACAAAAAAGUUCUCAGCUUUGACAUUGUGCUUGAUUCUCCACAUCAAAAAAUCUGCUCUUGAAUAUCUGUAUUCCAUAAUUGAAUUUUAUAUGUGGUUAGUGACAGUGUUUUCUUCCCUGAACAAAGCAUUCAACAAACUAAAGUUUAACAGUUGCAUAAUUUCCCAAAUUGCCAAUUUACUUCCAUAAUUCACAGCUUAUAAGAUAGCACAAUUAACGAUUGAGAUCUAUGUGGUGGAACUCAGAAAAUGAGCCAUUAAGUCACAGCAAAAUCCGCAUAUAACUGCAACCAAAACACCAGCUAGUUCUAAUUUCUAACGACGAGCAGUAUGCCAGAGAUAGCUAAUUCAGUUACAAGUAAAUCAGCCCCUCAUUAUUGUGACUACAAAUUGCUGAAUCAUUUGGACAGUUCAAGGUGGAUUCACUAAGAGCAGCAAGUUGCAACAAGUAGACUUGACUAGCUUUUGAAAGGCUUCAAAACAUCCUGCUUAAACUUGACCAUGUUGGAAGAUACUCCACCAAGUACCAAGUUUUGUGCAACUUCAUUGCAUGAACAGUACAUCGUCCUCGGCUACCUCGGCAAUAUCUUCACAAUGACAAGAUUUCUUUUGUUUUACAUGUAGCAUAUUAAAAAUCAAAGCGAUUAAAAGUCAAAAUUGAGUAGUGAAAAAAGAGAAGCGUAUCUUAAAUUACCAGAAAUUUGAACCAAAACACCAAAGCGAUGAUGCGAAAACCCCUUGAUUGACCAUUGUCUUCAUGGCUAGAAAAUCAUAACCGAGAAAAAGUGAGUCAAAAAAACCAUUAUUUUGAGACCCAGAGCUAUUACUAAUCAAAUGGUUCAGAGAAGUAUCUAAAUGCAUUUUUGAGAGGUAAAAGUUACAGAGAAACCAUUUCAUCCCCUUAGAAUCACAAGUUUAAAGAGAGUGGGCUGACUUUAGCAAUAAUAUCUUACAAUCCACAGAACCAAAUAUGGAAAAUCAACAAAACUAGACCGCUCGUUGUUAUUAUAUGUCGAUGGGCUAUUUGUAGGACGUGCAGGCAAAAAAUUAUUGAGUUCCGGCAAUAUAUACGGUGCUGAAGAAGCUUCACAAUUCUAACGUAUGUUCAUCUAAGCAAGAGACCACAAAAAUCAUCUUGGGAAGCAUUGAAGAAAGGAGUGCGGCAAGAAUUGCUGGUCUAAAGGUGCACAAUGGAAUCCUCUCAAAUUCCAGCUAUUGCACUGCUAGACAACAUCCUUGGAAGCAGAUCCUCCUAAACUUUGCAACAUAAUCAUUUUAGUUACCAUCUAUAUCACCUCACAAAAGGUAACAAAUAGAAAUCUUCAUAAAAGUUUCAUUAGAGUAAGUUCUCCUAUAGAAACAAAAGAAGCUAUAAAUUAAGAAGUCUAAAAUCUUUGUCUGCGGUUGCUAGUUCACAAUUUUUUUUGCUUUGACAUACAUUCAUUUGAGGAUUUACUCCAUGAAUAUAACGCAUUAUCUUUUUCCUUUUUUUAAACAAAUCAAUAAGAAAAUAAAAUUUUCACAGUAAAUGGUGGUGUGUAUGCCUAAGUUUGAUGAAAGCCCUCGAGAAAGCUUGUUCCUGCAUUAUAACUAUGAAAGAACAGGAAGUUCUAUUACAUUUUCUUGUGAUGGAAUCUUACAAAAGUGAGUUUCUUUUGCCACUUUUACCCUAAAGAUAAUGAGCAGGUACUAGGACUCGAUACAAUGUAUGUAUAUUUUUUUGACUUAGAUAUGCUAACCUUGCGAUAACACUCGAAAGUUUGCAAAACCUCUUAAUGGUCAAUCUAUUUCUCUAGUAAUGGUCAUCAAACUGCCAAUAAAGAUCAUCAAAAAGUCCUGGUAAUGAUGGCUCUUCAAAAACAUCUGAUAAGCUGGGGCAAGAAAUUUUUUCCCAGUAGAUUGUACAGGCCAGCUGACAGUCAUUGAGCAAUCAAAACACAGACAGAAAACUUUCUGCAAUUGAGGUACAACUAGUUUCAAAGACAAAAAGCCAGGGAAAAAAUUAAGCAAAUUUAUAGUAAUAUAGCAGGUAAAUUCUUACUGCUGGACCUCGUGACUGAAAAGGCAGAUAGACAAUGUGCAAGCUCCGACAACAAGGAUAUCAAGUGCUGGCUUUAUAAGGCACCGAUACGAAAGAAAAAUUGCCAUCAUAAAUAUUUUUGUCCAAGCUACUGGCCUUGCAAUUCAAUGAGUAAUUAAUGGCCAAUGGAGAUAUCCACUUAAACCUUGAGCCUAAGAUCACUGCAAAAUAGAAAAUUCAAGCUCAGACAUUAUGUAGUAAACAAGAGAUCUAACAAAACAAUUUAGAUAAUUUCGUGAAGCUAUUGUUCUGUCAAUCCUACAAAAACAAAGUGUGGAACAGAAUAUUAACAGAGUUAUAGUAAUACAUCAAAGCACAGAACAGGAUAGGUGAUUGGUUUCAUGUUAAUCGACGGUUACAAGAGUAUUAUGUUGUUAGGAGUAAAUGAGAAGCACGGUAUUUUGAACUUGGCAAGAAAUGCUAAUGCCGCAGCUUUGAAAGAUAAUAAAUAGGACGAGAAAAAGGAAGAAGAGAAAAUUGUGAAGAAUAACCACGGUAACUUUUUAGUUUUUUUCAUAUAAUUCCUCCACACUUAAAUCAUUGCUUGUCCUCGAGCAAUAAAAAAUACAAACCAGCAAUAAUUUAAGAAGUGAAAUGAAUCAAGUGAACUUGAAACUCAAUCUCUCUUAACUUUGGCAAGCUUUGAUUAUGCAAUUUUUUCCUAUUAACCGUAAUACUCAUCAUAUCAUGUAAAAGAGAGAUAAUUACACUCAAAAUUCAACCAAACAAAUUUAAUCUCUCUAUCUUACCUAAUUUCACAAAUAACUAACAUAUAUAGUUACCUUGGAGAUUUUCUUCCUUCUAAAUGAGAUGUUUAGCUUCACAAACCUUAAGAGGGAACUAUUCACUUUCUUUUUUCUUUUAUUUACUCUUAAAAUUGUGAAAAUGCCUUUUGACGAAGAUUGAUAUUUUUAGAUGAAGAUUUCCGGUUACUCAAAACUUCACUUAUUACUCCCAAUUCCAAUACCUUUUGACGCGAAAGUCGAUAUUUGUAGAUAAAACUCUCGGUUACUCAGUAUAAAAAUUUAUUGAAUAUUUUUACCAUAAAAUCCCUCAAUAAGGUCACAUUUGGAAGAAAAAUAUUCUAGCAACUAUAUAAAUCAAUUACUUGUAAAAAUAAGUAAGAUGAGAGAUUUCAUUUACUAUGCAAAAUGUAGGCAUAAUUUUCUUUAUUUUACAAUAUAUACUUUCUUACAUGCAAUAAUUCUAGUCAUAUUAUAAUUGUUUCCAAGUCAAGUGAGAAUUGAAUUGUUCAAUUACUAAAAUCAUCUCACUUGUAUAGGAGAAUUUUAAAACAAAAGGGACAUGAACUUCUUGCACUUGUGGAUUUAAAUGAACAAUUUGUGAAAGACUUGGGGCAAAUUUUGAAAUUUGGACAAGAUUUUGAAAAAAUUUUGACAGAGUUUCUCUUUAAAAUUGGAUGAAACUUCCUGCCGGCAAACCCAAAAGCCAACAAUUUUAAGCACAAGACAAAUUUCUAAUAUCAUAUCCAAGCAUUUACCAUAUAAGCACCAAAGUGACUCCUACUUAACAGCAUUUCCUCCCCCACACUUAACAUACACAUUUUCCUCAAUGUGUAGGGAAAGCGAAGAAGAAAAAGUAAAAACAAGUUACUCCCCAAUUCAAUGGCUGAGAUCCAGCUCAAUCUUGAAUCACGAGCCAUCGACGAAUCUACAACCAUCUAUGAAAACUGCCACAAGUCCCAAAUGCAAGAUGAGAAGUUCAAGUUAAACUUGUACAAUAAAAAGAGUUAAAAUAAAAAACUACAAGGAAAUAUGAAAGCAAAAAAAAAAUGCAGCAAGAGGUCGGCGAGUCUUCUCCUUGCACAUCACAUCACUGUGGAAAAGUGCUAAAUGAUUCUUUCAUAUAUAGUGCUAAAUGCACAUCACAUUUUCUCCUUGCAGUGAUUCUUGUCCCUCCUCUUCUCUUCUUUCUCUCUUUAGUGAUUCUUAAAUAUAUAGUGUUCAAGAGAGUCAAAAAGUGCUAAAUAAGAUGACAUAAAAUUUCUUUUGCACUUUUCUAGAGUUUCUUGAGCAUGUGUAGCCUAAAUUCUGUGCAAGAAUUGAGCAGAAAAGAAGUGUGAAAAUAGGGCAAGUUGCAAAACAAGUUACAAAAAAAUAGGAGAGAAUAAGCAGGCUUGGAAUACGUGACCUCAACUCGUGUAUUCAGAGCCUGUGUUUUCUCUUUUGUUACGUUUUCUUGUGUCUUUCUAUCCAAUGCACUAAGAUCAUAAGCAAGAUGCCCCAAUGUUUGUUCAUGCAAUGAAACAAUAAUACUUGCAUUUGAUGCUCUUCUAAUUCCAAAUCAUCAUUGAAUCAGCCACUAAUGAAUUCAAAUGAAUUCGCCUCGAUCCAAUAUUGAUAAUUCUCCUCAAAUCCUACCAAUAUAACCACAUUUGUACGUUCAACUUCCUAAAUGAAUCUUGCAAAAGUUAAAGACUUAGAGAGCAAGUUACACCGUAAAAACCCUAAAUUAUACCAAAAAAUACGCACAUAAUACUACUUAAAAGAAUGUAUAAUACACUUAUCGAGAAGGUUGAUUAGAGUGGGAAGUGAAGAGAAGGCAAAGAUGUCUUAUGCGUAGGUAGCAAGCAAUCUUACAUGAUUGAAUUUGAUCUGAAGAUGAACUGUUAAUCGCUUAUUAAUAGGAGUUGAAUAUGAGAAAUUUUGGACCACUGGGAGUCGAGGCCGCUGCUCUCAGGAGUGCACUUUUCUUUUAACAGAGGAGAACCAUAAACCAGUAGAACUUUUAGUUUGGUGAGACUUCUCAUGGCAUCCUCAGAGGGUAAAUGUCGAAGCUCUUUGAAACCAAAUAAACAUAGGUAUUCAAGAGCAGCAAAGUUUCCGAACCAAUCUGGCAGAGCUUUUAUACCUCCAAAGUCAUGUAGCCGAAGUGACGUGAGAGUGGUCAAGUAUUGGAUCUGAUGUGGUAGGAACUCCAUGUGUGGCAACCCAAAUAAUUCUAGGUCACAUAGUAUGGAUGACAAAGAGGAGAAGGAUAUCAAUCCAGACCAAUCAAAUUCAUUGUAAAUUGAAGAAUUUUCAUGGUCAUCAUCAUCUGAGAAGGGACCAAUUUCAAGGCGAUUUAAGCUGGGUAGGAAACCAAAUCCUUUGGGCAUCAUACUUGUUUUCAGUUUGGGACACGCGUAUAAUUCCAACUCCAAAAGAGAAGGCGUUUGUUGCAAAUCAAGCGGAAAGGAGAUAAGCUUGUCGCAAUAAGCCACCUGAAGCUUUUGGAGAGAGAUACAAGACUGUAGCAUGUCACUGGGUAGACUCGUUAACCCACGGCAAAACCAAAUCACCAGCUCUUUAAGAAACGUAAAGUUUUGCAAGGGAAGGAGUUCUCUGCAUCUGUGGCAAUAAUAAAACUCCAAACGCGCUAACUUGGGAAGUGUUAUUGGCAAAUCCAUUGACCAUCGAGGAAAUUGAUCACCCAUAAAACGCUGAAUUACCAACUCCUCCAAAUUUGGAUGAGGCUUAAGGCCAUCUAACACAUCUUUGUCGUAGUUGUAGUUGUCACCUUCUCGAUCCCAAGCCAAGGCCCACACAAGUAUCAGCCUAAAUAGAUUUGCCUUUCCAAAUAGAUUUGCUUCCUCAGCCGCUUUCCUAUCCUUUACUAGUUGAAGAUUGCGUAUACUUAAACUGCCUUUGAGGUUUUUCAAGCAUCCAAGCUCUUCAAUUUGUCGACCCUUUUCUCGACCCACAUUAAAGAACUCUAGUGUCUGAAGGCAAGAUAGUCGUCUCAUCUCUAGCGGCAUUUGAAAUUUUUCAUCAAAGGUGUAAAAGUAGAGAUGUCUCAAGCUAAUCAAAUUGCACAUCCCCUUCGGAAGAUCUUUGACAUACAUGCUAUCUAGUGCCAAUGUCUGCAAAUUAUAAAGCUUGCAAAGGGAGUCUGGCAAAAUACAGAUUCUAGAACUCGAAAGGUUAACAUAUCGCAAAUGUGUCAAUUUGCCAAUAGUGAUCGGUAGCUCUUGAGUUGUUGCAUGAGACAAAUUCAAAACAUACAAGUUCUUCAACUUCAUUAACAUAUCACCAGAUAGGUCACCCUUUACAAACAAUGUACGAAGCGAAGUUGAUAGACUUUCCAAAAGUUUUUCUUUUUCUUCUCUGCCACCAGAUAAAUCUACCGCAAGGUAACGAAUAUUGUUAAUAACUUUAGUAGACUUUGACAUUGACUCUGCGAGGUCGUGCACUAGAUCAUGCAUCUUAUAAUAACGUGUUUCCUGAUAACUUUUGGUUUCUGCAAACAACGAACUCUGUAAUAAAAUUCUCAGACAAUUCAUUCCAAUUUCCUCCAUCAUCAUUUGGUUGUUGACAUCUGCUUGGAGCAAACCUUCUGCCAUCCAAAGUUCGAUUAGUAUAUCUCCUUUCAUCAUAGUAUCCUUAGGAAAUAUAGAACAAUAUGCAAAACAUUUCUUAAUGGAUGGAGAUGGUAAACAAUCAAAACUCAAUUUAAGUAUUUCCAUGACACCAUCUUCAUCUCCACUGAAAUUUGAAAGCUUAUUCUUCAAAACCAAUUGCCACUCCUCUUUUCUCUUCAUGCGCAAUAAACCUCCCAUUACACUUGCAGCCAGUGGUAGACCACCACAUUUUUUUAUAAUUUCCUUUUUCAUGACAUGCAAUUGUUUGAGAAUUUCUCCACCUGCAAUGGCUUUCUUUGUUAGGAUAGACCAACAAUCAUCAUCAGAUAGCUUUCCUAGCACAUAAGGAUCAUGUGUGGCCACAAUGGAUGCAGUUUGUUGUUUACGAGUAGUCACAACACACCAAUUUCCAUUAGUUGCAUUUAGCCCCAGUAAUGAACCAAAAAAAUCAUCCCACAAGGUAAGAUUUUCGGUCCAGACAUCAUCAAGAACAAGAAAAUUUUUUUUCCCACAAGUUAUUCUCGAAUUUCCUGGACGAUGACAUCCCUACUGGUCAUUUCAACAUUUCUUCUUGUGAGUGCUUCUAAAAUCAUUUUCAAAAGCCUGGUCACGUCAAAAUUGUCGGACACACAAACCCAAAUUUUUUUCUCAAAAUGGCUAUGAACUUGACUAUUUUUGUAUAUAGAUUGAGCUAAAGUUGUCUUUCCCAAUCCGCCCAUCCCAAGGAUGGGAAUUACAGAAACGGUUUUUCUUGACAAGCUUAGCAGGAUCUCCACCAGCCUUGUUUCAUCCUUAGCUCUUCCUACAACAUAGUGGCCAGCAAUAGAAUCCGUCUCUCUAUUUAGUGUGACUUUAGCAGUAGUAGAAGGGGGGAAACUUGCCCUUUGGAAUCUGAUCAGUCCAAAAUCAUUGGCUUCUUUAUUGAUCUUAUACAACUUCUUGUUGAUGUCCCUGAUCUUAGAGGCCAUUCUCCGUCGGAAAACAAUAUUAAUGUCAGAGGACAGGAUGAAGGAGCGUACCUUGUCCACGAGAUGGCGACGAAGAGCUUCAUAAUUCAGCUCGUCCAACAAAUUCUCGGCAUCAAACGCCACGGCUUCUAGCCUCUGGAGCCACAGUUGCACGGCCUUGUCAUGCAUUUGCUUUUCCUCAGCAUCAGCCAAGACAGCUUGGAUCAUGGCAACAGAUCCUUUCAGGGUCUCCAAAUCCUCCUUGAAUUGGAAUAACUUGCCAAUCCUUUCAUUGGCAAGGGAAAGUGUCUUCUCCAACGCUACCUCUAUUGUGGAAGCUAUAAUUGCAUCAGCCAUUCUUCUUGUUCCUUGGGUACAGUCUUCAGAUAAGAAUACUCUUUUGCAGUGGAAGGUUUUAGCUGUAGUUAGAAGCAGCAAGGAACUGCUUUGACUCAAACGGAAGUGACAAGAGUUAUGAGGAUUUUUUGGUGCAGCGCUUCUUUGACAAUCUGGGUCGGAUGCUUUUGCAACGGAAGUUGCUUGGCAUUUUCAGUUGAAAAUAAAAUAUAGUCAUUGCCGGGAUUCUACAUCUGCUUUUGAUCCACAUUCCACAUGCCUGGGGCCCCUAGUCGUGGAAAAUUCCACCCAAGAAGGAUAAGAAAUUGUGCUGAACAAUGAAAGGUCCAAAAUAAUUGUUUAGAUAAUUCAAAUUAAGCAAUUUCUUCUAAUUCAAAUUAAUGUUGUGCAUGUAUAGGAGGCACAAAAUGGUUUGGUGCACUAGCAAACAGAAGGGUACAUCUAAGGUUACUACAAGUUUUACGUUAAAGUGGGAGAUUUGUAAACCAAUUCAGAGUAAACAAAUGAUGUUGAGGAAAAAAUAUGUUAGUUGCAAUGCAAUCAUAAAAGCUAUGAUACAUUUGUGAAAAGAAGAAACAUUUAUUAAUUUAGUGCAGUCUAAUUACAAACCUAGAAAAAAAAAUAUACAUGAAUGAUCCGAAAGCGGGAACGGUGUCAUUUUACUCAAAUAAAAGUGUGAUCGAAUCAAGGAUUAUUUAAAUAAAAAAAUUAGAUUAAUAAUAUAAUACUUUUUGUAUUUUUAUAUAAUGCAUGUGAGACAGAAUGGUGGCUGGUAAAAUUAAAAAAAAGGUGAUGGAAUAAGUAUAAAUUGUUUUUUUCAUAUAUUUAUCUAAUGAUAAUAGUGACAGGGUAAAAAAACAAAGGUGAUAACAAUGAUAAGUGUGGUGAGUACUUCUUGCAAUUGAUUGCACCAUGCAAUCUAUAUUUUACAUUAGGUAAAUUUGAAAUUGGAUGAAUAGAAUUGAUUAGCACGCAAAACUUUCAAUGAAUGAAACAUGUAUUGUGCUUUUGUGUUAAUUUUGCAUUAGGUUAAUUUUGUCUGCAUUUAAUAUGUCAGUGUAUACACGUCUAUUGUGUCAGAACCUAAAUUGCAUGGCGUGUAUGGCACUAAAUUUCCAGUUCACCUUUCCUACUUAAUGCCUUGCUGAGGCCUCUACUCUGAUUGAGAAACCUUAUAACUGCUGGGGCCUUCUAUUGUGCAAAAAAUCUCAACAAAAUAAUGGUCUGACCCAAGAAGCACAAGAAAGUAUUGUCCUUAACAAUUAGAAUGUCAAAGAAAAAAAAGAGGGAAAUUGAUAGGUUGCAAUUUUAUCAUUUAUUUUAUUAUUAAUUUUCCCUAUUACCUGACCUGAUGUGAAUUAAUUAUUAGAUUCUACUCACUUUUCGUAAUUUACAUUUAUUUCAGGGAGUAGAACAAAAAUAUCACAAUCAAGACCAAUUUGACAGUUAUCGGAAAAGAGUUCAAAUAGCAGACAAUCAAGAGCAUUCUUGAAACAAAGAGAUGCGACCCUUUCUGGUAAUUUGUGAAAGACAGCAUAAAAGGAGAAGGAGGAACACAGGACUAGGCGUUCUUUCCCUUGGGGGGCUAGAGCCGCCGCACAGAGCCAGGCAUUAGAAUAGGACUUUUGAUAGAGGGAGGAGUAGAGGAUUUUUCCUCCUGAAGCUUAGUUUUCCUUUGACUUUUCCAUCGUAGCUUUUGAGGGGUAUCUUCCCACGCAUGUCAGAGAGCAAAAUUGGGGAGAACUUUAACUUUUCUACUUUUGAACUUUGAGUAGUCUUUUGUUCCUUCUUGUAUGUCGGACGAAUUGAAUUUCCCCAAUUUCAAAGCACGAUUGCCGCGACUUUUGCUACAAUUUUGUGUGGGUUUUUCAUACCAAAUAUGAAUUAAUCUCUUCGCUCUAAUCAAGGAGUAACGGAGGCUCUGGGUCGCCUAAAAAUUGUGAGAUCGUUUUAAUUUAAUCUUUUCCUUUUAUUUAUUGGUAUUUGCAUAUUCCCUGGUUGCAGUGCUUAUGGUUGUUUAAUUAAUUGAUUGUCUUGGAUCCGGAUAAUUAGUUAAUUUAAUAAUCUAUUGUCAAUUGAGGUGUUAAAUCCGUAAUUGUUUAAUUACCUCAAAAUAGUGACAACUGGCAUGAUUAGAUUUGUGUCAGGGGGAUGCGCGGGCUAAUCUGAAAUAACCCUGGUAGUGCGUUAUUUGGUUAGAAUAGGGCUCCUCUAAUUUGUAAGGCAAUUGGGGAAUUAAAUCUUAUGGGCGUACCUAAGAUUAUUUCUCAAUUAGGGCAGUGAUUAACGGGCGUACCUUAAUCACCGACACAGUAAGGAGGGGUUGACUGUCAUCGCUUGUUUGGUAGUUAUAACCUAUUUAUUGAUAAAUAAUUGGGAUUGCCUUUGCGUCGAUGAUCAAUUAGAUGAACCAUUGCUGAAGUUAUUCCUUGGCUAGAUCCUUAAUUAUCACUCAUUUGAUUUUAGUAAUUUGUUACUUAAUUUUUAGUAGUUUUUUUUAGAUUUUAUUUGAAUUUCUUCGAUUGUCACCUUCUGCACAAAAACACCCCCCUUGUCACUGUGAAUUUGAAAAGAAACAAUUACUCCCAAUCCCUGUGGAUUCGACCCUGCUUACCGCUAUCUACAGAAAUUUAUUUUAGUUUGAGCAGGUUUUAUUAUUGCGCAGGCUUCGACACCCUGUCAAUUUUUGGCGCCGUUGCCGCAGACUGGUGCCAAAUUAAUUUGUUUCUUUUUGAGUUCAUCUUGUUUUUAUUUUUUUUUAUUUAUUUUUUUUUCUCUUAUUUUUUUUUUAUAUAGUUUAUGGCUUCUAACACUUCGUACUUUGGUGAUAUACUGGAUUUUCUUUCCGGGAAAGGCGAUGAGACUAGUUUUUUCGCUAAAUCUGCAUACUCAGAGGCACUAAACUCUAUUAGAGAAAGAAUGGCUGCUGUAACCUGUAAAAUUUGUUAUGCCAGGGAUCAUUCAACCGGUAUGUGCCCCGAAUAUCAAGAUACUCUGAGUGUCCCAUUCAAUAAUUAUGGAGAUUUUUCACCCUGGUCUCAAACGUGGUAUAACCCUAAUCCAAACGGGUAUGAUCAAGGAUGGUGGGAUAACUCCAAUUAUAAUUAUUCAACGGGGCCAAUGAAUUUUCAGCAGUAUGAGUCUCAAGAAUCGUCAUCUAUGUCAGGUAUAUCUCUUGAAGAAAUAGUUGAACCAAUAGCUACUAAUACAUACCAAUUCAAACAGGAGACACAAAUGAGGAAUGAGAUGAUGAAGGAUACAAUGAGUUAUCUGGCAGAUCAACUAUGUCUAUUGACAUCCAGAAUAAAUCGAUUGGCUUCUCAAAUGGAAGAAUUGCCCUCGGAAACCAUUGUUGAUCUAGAAGAAAAUGAGAGUGCAAUUUGCUUGACUGGUGAUGAGGAGAUGCAAGAGUGUCAAAAUGAGAAAUCUACAGAUGCAGUUGAAAAAGAAGCCGAAAAGGAAGAAAUGGAACCCCAACCGCAACCCAUUCAAGUGAACGAAUCCAGUGAACAAUCUCCAAAUGCGGUGACAUCUUCUCCAUUCCUUAAUCAAUAUUUUCCUGACUCCUAUUCUUCAAUUCCUGUUACUGAAAUUGAUUUUAUUAUACCAGAAAAUUUGAAAUUUCAUGACAGGAAUAAGUUAAGAGUGGCAAUGAAAAAAUAUCUUGAACCGAUGAAUGCGUGUGGUGGAGGAGUGAAUGGAGAAUACAAAUUAUCGUUGACUUGUUUGGCGCCAUUUACUAGUCUAUGGAAGCUCGUAACUCGUAUGUCCAAGGAUUACUCUAUUUACGAGAGCUAUCAGGACUAUAUAGAGGAUGAAGCAUUAAGACGAGCCACACGAUUUUAUCCUCCAUGAACAAAACAUGAUAAUGUCUAGCCAAAGACAUUAAAGAGAGGCGCUCAUUGGGAGGCAACCCAAUUGUUUCUUUUAAUUAUUUGUUUGAUUUCGUGUGAUAGUUUAAAUAUGUUUUCCUUGAGUUUAAUUGGUUUUGGGUCUGAAAUUUUUGUUUUUGGUGAGUUGUAGGUGUCUAUCUGACUCGGCAUGCCCGCGUCAUGUUGCAGGAAAAGCUCACGGUCAGAGAGCUCUCUUGCCCUCAUGACGUGCCCGCGUCACGUUCGCGGGAAAGGUAAGGAUUCUAAAAAAAAAAAAAAAAAAAAAAAUCUUAUCACCGUAGCUUUAGUUUCCAAAAUUCAAAAAAAAAAAUUAAAAAAAUUGAUUUCCAUAGAAAAAAAAGAGAAAAAAAACCAAAAAAAAAAAAAGAAAAGAAACAAAAAUAUUUCUCACGAUAGCUCAAAUGGAACCUAAAAAAAAAAAAAAAUCUUUUUUUUCUUUUUCUUUUUCCUUCUUUUCUUUCUUUCUUUUCUUUCUUUUUCUUUCUUCUUCUUCUUUCUUUCUUUUUUCUUCUUCUCCGCUACGUCUUCUUUCCCAUUUUGGCCGCCUCUUCAAUCGCGCGCCGCCCACUUGCCCGCGUGACCGCUGCUGCCUUCCACAACCACCUCGCACGUCCUCUCUCCUCUUCGCGAGCCACCGCCACCAAAUUUUUGGUGUAAUUUCAUUUUUUAGUUUUUAUUUGUCGUGUUCAUUUUUAGUUUUUAGUUUCCAGUUUUAUUUUUAUUUUUAAGUUUUAUCAUAGAAUUUGUUGAAAAAGAAAAAAGAGAAAAAGAAAAGCAUUCAAAAAAAUAUGUUUUAGUCAUUUUGUUUUUAUUCAAUGCUUUCUUGAAAGAAAAAUGAAAAUGAAAAUAAAAAAAAAAGGGAAAAAGGAAAUUUGUUCACAAAAAUAUAUUUAUUUCUUUAAAUGCAACCUUUUUGCACUUUAGUUAUUUUUAUUAAGUUAUUUUGAGAAAAAGAAAAUGAUGAAAAAUGAAAAAUGAAACAAAAAGAUGGAAAAGUGGCCAUUUUUGUUGUUUUUAGUUGUUUAGUUUUUAAAUUAUUUUCAUUAUUAUUAUUAUUAUUAUUACCUGGUUUUGGCAAUUUGUUAUUAUUAUUAUUAUUUAUAUCAUUUCUGUAUUUAUUAAGUUAUUAAGUUCAAAAAAAAAAAAAAAUGAUACGCGGCAGCAAGCUGCGUUUUACGCAGCUUGCAAAGGAAAUCUGGGACGGCUCCUAAAGCUGCAAAUACAGGAAAAGGACUAGAGGUUUUUAGGGUUUGGGGGUCUGAUAUAUAGCAAAAAGAAAGGUAGCCGCAACAGAGGUUUUAAGGGGAACCAACGGGGGAUAGAAACACAAGCAAAAAGGAAAAGAAAGAAAAAGAGCCGAGAGUGAAAAGAGAGGAAAGAUUGAUGGUGACGGCAGGAAGUGAGCCAGAAGCUUUGUGAAGUAAGAGGGAAAAGAAGCAAAGGAAGGACUGAGUAGAGUUGAUGGCUGUGAGGGUUUAGAAACGGAGAGUUGAACGGGAAAGGGAAAAAGAGAAAAUAGCAAAGGGAAGCUAGCUGGUGGCUGGGCAAGAGGAAAAAACGCAGAAAAGAAAACAGAGGGGGGGGGGAGGUUUCGGUUUCAAUGAUCGGCGAGGAGAAAAACUUGCAACCACCACAGCAGCCAUCUCAACUCCAUCCGUUGCCUGCCCAGACUCCUUUUCAUGCUAUCAGCCCAAGCCACCACAAACCUCCAUAACCACCGCCUACAAAUGACCACCUCCAAGUUCUGUCAUCGCCACCACCGCACGCAACUUCCAUCGAGGUCACCAGACAGCAGCCACCUUUUCUUCUCUAGCGUGACCAACGAGCGGUCAACUGCCUCCCAAGAGGUCCUCCAAGGACCACCACAUCAAGGAGGAAGAAAAGCCACCACCAGUCCGCUACCAUCACUAGAACUUCCCACCACUGCCUGAAAAUAAUUUCACGAAGCAGGCGCAGGUAAGCUGUCCUUUUCUUUUAAAAAUUCUCGGUUCUGUUUAAGCUCUCAGAGCAUGUCUGCCGUGGGUUUUGAGGGGAUAGCAUCUGGGUUUGGUUAAGGACAUCAAUAGGGCUCGCUUGAUUUGUUUCAUAUAGAUGUCCUGGUUGAAUGAUGAAGUUUGAAGAAAGAACUAAAAAUUGCAGAAUGUUGAUUCCCUGUAAUUGCAUGAACUUCUGGUAUCUAAACCUAAAUUUGUAUGGUGAAAAAUGGAAAACAUGCUUGUGAACUUGUUACUUUGCUCCUAGUUGUUGUUAGUUGAGCUGUUAGUAGUGUUUGGAUAGCAAAGAAUUGCAGCAAAAGGAAACUCAAAUGCUGCAGACAUUUUUUUGUUAACUGUCGGCUCACAUUCUCGUUUGUUCCCUUGCUUGUUUUCUUCUUGUAAUGAUUUAAAUCUGUCCCUUGUGCCUUGAAGUCUCCUCCCUUGUUGCCCAAGACCGUGAAUUCCUAUGUUAGCUGGAGAGUUUUUUUAUUUAUUUGCUGUGCUACAGUUUUGCUGCUCAUGAAGUUGUCAGCUCUGCUUCUAAAGCUGUUACAUAACAACCCAUUGGCAUGAUAGCUGCCGUUAGUUUUGCAUUCGGUGUGUGAUUUUGUAUGCGUGAGGGAGUAUUUGGAAUUACAAUUUGGGUAGGAAUUUGAGGUUGGUUUUAAGUUUGAAACGUUUAUCGACAUCUCGAGUGCAUGAAAGUUUGCUGCAACAGGUCUUAAGUUCUGUUUUAUUGCAGCAAUGUUGGCAGAGUUGUUUUUUUGCUGAUGACUAAAGUUUUGUUAGCUAAAUUUGUCUUCAAAUCUGUGGGUUGUUGGAAAGUGAUGCCACUGUGUGCGUUUGCUGCAUUUUGUUGCAGCAAAACAUGGCAUAAUAACAGGCCAUAGCACCAACUUUGCUAAGUAUUCACUGCUUCAAGUUUUUACUGAUUCUAUGUUCAGUUUUCCUUGUUGUUUUCAGUAAAGUAAACAUUGGUUUUUGGUUGUUUAGUUUAGGAUUUUGAUUUCUGGUAAAGAUGUCUAGAUUGGAGCCAUGCUUUCGGACCAUAAAUAUGCAUUUGUAAAUGGAGAGGCAUCAAACUUUCGCCGGCAGAAAGCUUCUUCAUGCAUUCUUGCUUGAAGUUUUUUUCUAUGUUUGCAUGAUUUCCUCCUAUGAUUUUGCUAGUUCGGAUGUCAAGUUCAUGUUUUGUGUUGUUUGGUUCAAAAUUUGAUGUUGAAUCAAGAAAGCCUUGGGUUAAGGUAUGAGAUCAAAUCCGGGUUUAGUGUUUGAAAGUGGAACAAAGGUGCAGCAAUUUCGUUUGCUUUGUUGAAGAAUGUUCUUUCACGAUGGUUUGCAUGCAUUUGCAUGAAUAAUCUCCAGAUUUUACACUUUGGCCCCCAAGUCUCUCCUUGUUCCACUAGGACCCAAUCAAUUAAAGAAUUUCAUCAAAUUGGUCCUUGAUAAUUUUAAUUUUUGCAACUUCAUUGCUUGUUUGCUUCAAUUAACUACCAUGCUUUGUUUCAAUUGCAUUUAAUUCAUGACUUUAGGGGCUUUAUGACCAAGUGAGCUUGUGUUUGCCUAUUUUCUUUAAUUUUCUCAAAUAAAUUGGUACCUUGACCAUUUCUUUUAUUUUGGAGGAUAAAUAAGUGAUUUCACUUCAUUGGGGCCCAAUUGCAAGGGAGGUAACCUCUAUCUCCUUGAAUUUCAUUUCUCCUAUGUGAUCCUACGUGUUAUGUGAAUAUGCAUGUCUACUCCGCUUUCCUUACCUCCUUGCGUGCAUUUACUUGCUUUCACUUUUAUUUAAGUUUUAUGGGGUAUGUGUACACCUCUUGGCUUGUAAUAGAUAGGGCUCGGAGAGCAUCUGGUCCAUUUCCCCUUUCCCUUUAUGUUUUUAUGGGGUAUGUGUACACCUCUUGGCUUGUAAUAGAUAGGGCUCGUAGAGCAUCUGGUCCAUUUCCCCUUCCCCUUGGUUGCUUGUUUUUGUUGCUACAUGUUUAAUUGCUUUAAUAGGCUCUUGCAUCUAGUCGAGCAUGCUAAGUGCUACGUGCUACGUGUUUACGAGCGUUUUGGCAUGUCUACUUGCUUUCAUAACCAUGAAUGAAUGGAAUGGAUGAAUGUACGUCACCACGCUAGUUCAAUGCUAGUUGUGGCUCAUUAUUUCAUUAGGAAUUCAUAGAAAGGGCUAGUCCAACGCUAGACCCAAUAGGAUUUUUCCUUUGUUUUUCAUUAAUGCAUUGUUUGCCUGUUCACUACAUAUCAUGCAUUUUUCCUUAGUUUUAUCAUCUGGCAUGCUCCUCGAUUCCCCUUGCCCCUCACUUUAGGUCUUGCAUCUCAUGCUAGUUAGGGUACAUUUGCCUGAAGAGUCCCCUUCUGAUAAGGGAAACGAGCGAGUGUGGCUACUCGAUAGCCUUAGCACGCUAGUUCCCCCUUCUAUCAAAGGAAAAAUCAAGUCACAAAGUUAGGACUCCCCGUUCCCGUUUUGAUGCAUUCCUAUAGAAUGUGAGCCGACAGUUAACAAAAAAAUGUCUGCAGCAUUUGAGUUUCCUUUUGCUGCAAUUCUUUGCUAUCCAAACACUACUAACAGCUCAACUAACAACAACUAGGAGCAAAGUAACAAGUUCACAAGCAUGUUUUCCAUUUUUCACCAUACAAAUUUAGGUUUAGAUACCAGAAGUUCAUGCAAUUACAGGGAAUCAACAUUCUGCAAUUUUUAGUUCUUUCUUCAAACUUCAUCAUUCAACCAGGACAUCUAUAUGAAACAAAUCAAGCGAGCCCUAUUGAUGUCCUUAACCAAACCCAGAUGCUAUCCCCUCAAAACCCACGGCAGACAUGCUCUGAGAGCUUAAACAGAACCGAGAAUUUUUAAAAGAAAAGGACAGCUUACCUGCGCCUGCUUCGUGAAAUUAUUUUCAGGCAGUGGUGGGAAGUUCUAGUGAUUGUAGCGGACUGGUGGUGGCUUUUCUUCCUCCUUGAUGUGGUGGUCCUUGGAGGACCUCUUGGGAGGCAGUUGACCGCUCGUUGGUCACGCUAGAGAAGAAAAGGUGGCUGCUGUCUGGUGACCUCGAUGGAAGUUGCGUGCGGUGGUGGCGAUGACAGAACUUGGAGGUGGUCAUUUGUAGGCGGUGGUUAUGGAGGUUUGUGGUGGCUUGGGCUGAUAGCAUGAAAAGGAGUCUGGGCAGGCAACGGAUGGAGUUGAGAUGGCUGCUGUGGUGGUUGCAAGUUUUUCUCCUCGCCGAUCAUUGAAACCGAAACCUCCCCCCCCCCUCUGUUUUCUUUUCUGCGUUUUUUCCUCUUGCCCAGCCACCAGCUAGCUUCCCUUUGCUAUUUUCUCUUUUUCCCUUUCCCGUUCAACUCUCCGUUUCUAAACCCUCACAGCCAUCAACUCUACUCAGUCCUUCCUUUGCUUCUUUUCCCUCUUACUUCACAAAGCUUCUGGCUCACUUCCUGCCGUCACCAUCAAUCUUUCCUCUCUUUUCACUCUCGGCUCUUUUUCUUUCUUUUCCUUUUUGCUUGUGUUUCUAUCCCCCGUUGGUUCCCCUUAAAACCUCUGUUGCGGCUACCUUUCUUUUUGCUAUAUAUCAGACCCCCAAACCCUAAAAACCUCUAGUCCUUUUCCUGUAUUUGCAGCUUUGGGAGCCGUCCCAGAUUUCCUUUGCAAGCUGCGUAAAACGCAGCUUGCUGCCGCGUAUCAUUUUUUUUUUUUUUUUUUGAACUUAAUAACUUAAUAAAUACAGAAAUGAUAUAAAUAAUAAUAAUAAUAACAAAUUGCCAAAACCAGGUAAUAAUAAUAAUAAUAAUAAUGAAAAUAAUUUAAAAACUAAACAACUAAAAACAACAAAAAUGGCCACUUUUCCAUCUUUUUGUUUCAUUUUUCAUUUUUCAUCAUUUUCUUUUUCUCAAAAUAACUUAAUAAAAAUAACUAAAGUGCAAAAAGGUUGCAUUUAAAGAAAUAAAUAUAUUUUUGUGAACAAAUUUCCUUUUUCCCUUUUUUUUAUUUUCAUUUUCAUUUUUCUUUCAAGAAAGCAUUGAAUAAAAACAAAAUGACUAAAACAUAUUUUUUUGAAUGCUUUUCUUUUUCUCUUUUUUCUUUUUCAACAAAUUCUAUGAUAAAACUUAAAAAUAAAAAUAAAACUGGAAACUAAAAACUAAAAAUGAACACGACAAAUAAAAACUAAAAAAUGAAAUUACACCAAAAAUUUGGUGUCUACAGUUUGCCCCUCUUUGUCUGAGUUUUGAAAAAAUUUGAGACAAAGAAGUAGACACCAAAUACUUACCAGUGUUAUUCGGUUGCAAAAAUGAUCUGAACGGACAGGAAUUCUAAAAUGGGACUGACCCGAACAUGAAUUUAAAAUUGGGGAUAGACCCACGGGAUAGACCCGGACAGAAAUGUAAAAUUGGGAUAGACCCACGGGAUUAAAAAUGGGAUAGACCCACGGGAUAGACCCGGACAGAAAUUUAAAAUUGGGAUAGACCCACGGGAUAGACCCGGAUAGACAGAAAUUUAAAAUUGGGAUAGACCCACGGGAUAGACCCGGACAGAAAUGUAAAAUUGGGAUAGACCCGGACAGAAAUGUAAAAUUGGAUUUGAUCUGUCAAGAUAUAAGAAAUUAAAUUUUGAUUUUCCAAGAAACAAAAAUUUGAACUUGAUUUUCGAUUUUUGACUUUUGAAUUUUUCUGAUUUUUCGAGAGAAUCUUUUUCCAAAAAUAAUUUGCCCCAGUGUAGGGCCCUUUUCCCUUCUUUCUUCUCUUUCUUCGGCAUCGGCUUUCUACAUCGCCAGAUGCUUUUCGUCGACUUCAACUGUGAAUACCUGCACAGGGCUUACGUGCACUCAAAUGAGCGUGACUGAUUUGAAAAAUGCAUUAUUUUGAUUCUUGGACGAAAUCCUCAAUUGGCCUACAAAAAUAUUUGCCCCUGUGUGGGCUUAUUUUGCAAAAUUUUGCAAAUAAAAAUUUUGCCCCAGUUUGGGCCCAUUUGAUUGCAAAAAUUGGUUUAGAUGAUUUCCCAUUUACUUGAACAAAGAAAAACCGCACUUUCUAAAAUUUAGAAAAGAGUGCACAUACAACAAUGUGAAGAAACUUUAAUCGUCAAGUUUGAACUCAUGCAGAAAUUUCAUGAUGAAUUCCUCAAAAUAAUGCCAAAUUACAAGAUAUUUCUUCCUUACCUUAGCAUCGAAGCUUUGGGUAAUGGGCGUUAUUUCUGACUUGGAAAUGGGAGGCCAAGAUUUGUCUUAUUUUGUGCUCAUUCGAUAUCACGUCUUCAUGAAAGCAAAGAGUUUAUCACCUUAUUUUUAAGAAAACGUAGUCACAUACAGCUUUAUAGGCUUGCAAUAAACGGAUGGAAACGAUAGCUAAAACAUGAAAAAACUGGUUGUUCCCUUAUGAUCACAAAUGAUUGAUGGAUUUCUUACGAGCAUAGUCGUCACUUUGGAUUGUCAUGAAGGAAUAAGUCAACGAUGGACUUUAUGAGCUUGUAAUGUGGCUUGAAAACGAUAGCUAAAGAAUAAAACUUUCAAGGACAUUACACCACAUAUCGUAUUUUUCAACAUUGCCUUCAUCUGGACUCCAGAUUCUUGGAUUUUGUUUGACUUUUUAUCAUCACCCAACAGGGUCUUUCAACAUCAAAUCUUUUUGCAUCUUUCUUUUGCAUUCAUUUCGCUCGUUUUUCUUUUCUUUCUCCCCCCCUUCUCGGGGUUUCAUAUGAAAGCAGUGUCAACCUCACGCCAAAUCAAUUCAGAAUACAGCAAAAUUUUCGACAUCAGAAAUUUUCUUAACAGGGCCAUUGCAAAGAAUAGAAGUCAGGGCUUUCGGCUUUUGUAAUGGGGUCAGGUGGGGUGCUUAGAAAAGUUAAGGCUUGAAAGCGGAUUUCAAAGCGGUUUGAAAAAUCUGAGAUCGCAUGUUGCGCAACCCUAUUUUAGGGUUAAAUCAGAAUUUGCCCCAGUUUUGCUCAAUGAGGCUUUUCACUUUCAUUUUCUUUUUCUUUUGACUUUUCGGCUUUUGCCAUUCUUUGAAAUUUGCCCCAAUUUAUUUUUGAACUGAGGUUCUCUUUUCUUCUUUUGAUUUGGAUUUUGUGCUUUUCACUUUUCACUUCUUGAAAUUUCCUUUUCAACCAAACUCGCCCCAGUGUGGGGUUUGCGAUUCUCAGGGGUUGCCAAACGAAAUAAUCCAUUCUGAUGGCUCAAAAGGGAUAACUAGGGAUAGAAUGUUCGAUUGGAAAAGAAGAUGGCCUGACUUGUAUUCCGUUCCUUACAAUAACUCUGAAAGGAAAUUUUCAUUAAUGGGAAAUUUUUGGCAUGUAUCUGAAUUAACUGAUUGGGGAAGACCCUUGUUCAUCCAUAUUUGUGAAACAUAGGUGAUCCACGCGGACAAAUCUCUUCCCUCUUUUUUCCAAAUUCGGAACCCAAGUGGAGUCAAAUUUCCCCAAUUUGCGGUUCCCUCCCUAUUUUAGCAUUUUUGCUUUUCCCCUUUUCUUUUCCUUUUUAAAAUUUCCCAAUCUCCUUCCCCAAUGCGAGGUACGAUCAUAAGUGCAUUCGAAAAGAACCACCAAUUUUAGCUCAAAUGAGGACGCAAGGGAUAAAUGGUGUUUAGAUUGAAGAAAUGAUGGCCAAAGUAUCAUUCUUACACUUCAUGACAACCAGAGUAACGAAAUGCUCAUUGACAAUCCAUUCCCUUUUGAAAGUUUUCCAAUGUAGGGUAGAGAUCAUUAAGGCGUUUAUUUGGAAGGAAAUUAUUCUUCUAUAGGCUCAAAUGGGAGAGCAAAUGAUAAAAAUCUGUAUAGGUAGUGAAACGAAUGCUUGAAGUAUCAUUCCAAAUUUUCAAACAAAUAAGAAUAAUGCACAUUUUUGCUUUCACUUAGAUGUGAUUGAAUCGAAUUAGUUACCGCGGACAUUUUCAAGCAAAAGUUGCCCCAAUUUACAAUUUAUCAAUCAAUGUGACUGAUUUUAUUUUGGGGUCAAAUGAAGGAGAAAAGGAAUCUCAUAGGGCCUUUUGAGUGACCUCUUUUAAUUCUGAACACUCUUAUUAUGAAUUUUCAGGCCGGAGGUUGAAAAAAUCCCAAUUUAGUCUUAUUUCUUAAAAUUCAUCAUGAACUCUCCAAUGAAUAAGAAUAAAGAAUGAAAUGUACAUAAAUAUACACAAAACAAUGAUUGUCCAAAAAUUUUAUUGCUGAAAAAGUUUGAAACAAAAUUUCUCAUUCAAUUACGAUACAAAUGAGGAUAGAAAACUUCUAAAGAGCUCCACAUAUAUAUCCUUUUUGUCUUCAUUUCUUUUGACACAAAAAUAUAUUAACAAGUCAAAUAUACAGAAUUUUCCUUGAAAGCGAUUGUGAAAUCUCUUAGAAGCUCUCAGCCUAGAGCUUUCAAAUGGGUCUUUCAUGUUUCCAUUGUUGGAUCUACCCAAGAAUCAAUAUAGGAAAAUAUUUUCAUCUUAUUGAAACAUUUUUUAAUGAAUGCAGGGGAGGGGGAAAACAAAAGAAAAAUACCCAAAGUUAGUAAUCAAAACCAUAGAAUCAGUAUGCAUGCCCUAUGGGGGAACCCUUUUAUGCCAAGGGUAGGCCUAGCAUGAAAAUGCAAUCCUCUAGGGUAGGCACCAUACAAUACCUGAUGGAUCCAAUCAGCUUAUGGAGUGAAAAAUAAUUUAAAAAAAUUUGGCCCACUGGAAUGAAAAGAGACAUUUGUCCUAAAAUGAGGGAAAAGUCCGAAUGGAUUGCUACUUUGAUCGAUGCAUGAAAUAAUGUGUAAAAGGGGCUGAUUGGAAUGUCUCAAUUAAUUUAUUCGGUGACCCUUAGACUUAAACCCUAAAAAGGGAAAAAACGGGUCAAAUGGAUUGGAUAAAAUUGAUGAUUUAUUUAAAAAUGACCAAAUUGCCCUAAAAAUAGGUAAACUGGUCAAAUGAAUGAAAUGAAAUUUGAUUUAUUCAAAAAUUGAUCGAAUCACCCUAAAAAGGGUAGAUUGGUCAAAUGAAUUGACGAUUUAUUCAAAAUCGACCGAAUGACCCUAAAAAGGGUAGAUUGGUCAAAAGAUUUGAUGAUUUAUUCAAAAUCGACCGAAUGACCCUAAAAAGGGUAAAUUGGUCAAAGGAAUGGUUUAUUUAAAAUCGAUUAUGAAUUGACAAAAUGGAUUGAUCGAAUCGGCCGGCCAUUGGUGGUUUCAGAAAAUCAGUCUAUGAGCCUUCUAAAAUCACAAUUUGGCCUCAAUUUAUUUAUCAUCUCAAUAGGAGGAAUCAUUUGUGAAUUUCUUCAAAUUAAUGUCCUUCGCGCAAGGGAUUUUUACCAAUUUUUGAUAAAAUGGCCAAAAAGUGAUUAUUAGAUGCUCAUAUUCCAAAGAUCACUCUAUGAAAAUGAUCGGAUCCUACCUUACCUUGUGCACUACCCCUUUGGAUGGUACAAAAUGUAAACGUGCAAGUCUCACUGGAUUAAGUAUCCGAGACACAAGGUGGCUUAUUCCUAAACACGGGAUUCCCUAUGUGGCAUUCCCUUUCUAUGGUUUAUGCAUGAUGCCAGUUUAUUAAAGCGAUGUAAAUAUGUGACAAAUAUGGCUAAAGGACAUAAAUAAUGCAUCGGGGGGAAAAGGUCUAAAAUGAAAUGUAUUAUUGAAAAGUAAGCAAAGACUGAAAUUUAGACAUGUGAGCUAUCUAGUGGGUGAGUCACUAAAAGAGUGCCAAAGAGGCCUCUUAUUGCUAAGGCACAUGAAUGCAAGCCAGGAAAACAAAAGAAUGGUUAGUGCAAUUGAUAGUACACAUAACACAUUGGGAGCAAUUAAGAAAAGAAAUACAAUAAAAGCAAGUAAAAGGGGUGGAACCCCUUCCCUCGUGCCUAAUGUGCUUAAAAAGGGUGAGGCUGACUCUACCCUAGGCAAAUGCUAAUAUGGAUGCAUGAGGUGGUUCACUAAUGCCUAGACUCGAUAAAGCUUCGGCUCCCAAGCCUUCAGACCUAAAGGCGAAGGGUCAUCACUCCCAGGGCCUUUGAUCGGUGGCUCGAGUGAUCCCUUAGGUAGCGCUAUGGGCGCAGAGCACACCAGCCGCCUACCCAAGGCGAUCGAUCCUAAUCCUACAAGGCGGUGUGGGAAACGCCCACGAAAAACAAAAUAAAAUGGGAUAAAAGCAAGUAAACGUGCACGUAUGAAGUGUUCCCCUAUUUUGAGGGAAGGGGUGAGAACCACACGAGGCUCUAAAGGCGACACACCCCCCCAAAUGCAAUGCAAGCGCGAGAUAAAUAAGUAAACAUACAUCCAAUCAACCAAUCACACGUACGUGAGUGAGGGAAUAGUUGGAUACGCGCACGAGGCAAAAGGCCCUAAAAAUGGAAAGUGCAACCCUAAUAUCCAAAUGCAAUGCAUAAAAAAGGGUAGAAAAAGGAAAAGAAUGGCCAAGUCAAAUGCUCGGACCCACUUAGGAAGUCCCCAGUGGAGUCGCCAACUGUCGCGCCCCACUUUUCGAUUGUGUGGAUGUGUGAUGUGUGGUGUGUAAUGCGGUGUGAACGUGUGCAAAAUGAAAAGUAAAAAGGCCAUGGGAUUUUGGAAAGCGACGAUUUGGCCAAAUGAAAUUUUAAAAAGGGUUUUUUAAAUAUGAAAACGGAGUCGCCACUUGGUAUAGAUUUGGGGUGUACCAAGUCACCCAAAAAGUGUUUUUUAAAGACAAAGUAGUAAAACCCCUUUUAAAACGACUCCUAGUCCACGUAAGCCAAAGAAAAAGGUUCGGGGGUCACGUUUGACAAAAGGGAAGGCAAGGAUAGAAUCCAAGGCACCCCUUUGACCUAGCCAAGGCUAGUUGCGCGACUCAAACCAAUUUUUCCUAGUUUUUCUACCCAAGGUAUGUAUCGCGUAUUGGAUAUGUCUAUAUGGAUGCAAAAACCUAGACCUAGGGGGAUUGGGGGAAAUUUCUCUUCAAAGGUUGGGUGGUGCCAAUCACAUUAAUUGUGAAGCCCAAUAAUGAUCCUUUUGGAGAGGUCACACCUAAACCUAAAUGACGUGAAAAAUGAGUGGAAUGCAUGCCAUGUGAAAGUGUGAGUUUGUGUGAAGUGAGAAAAUGAUAAAAGUAAUAAGAUAUAAGUGGAUGUGUGCAAAUGUCUUUACAAGGUAAGGUAAGUGAAGAAUAAUAAGGUGAAAACGCCAUUAAGUGCAUGUGUGCGAGUGAUAUGGUAUAGAGUGUAAGUAGUUGAAUAAAAACGUGUAAAAUGAAAGUAGUGUGAAGUGAGAAUAUAGAAAGAGGAAUGGAAUAUACAGUAAGUGAUAGUGAAUGAAUGAAAUGCGUGAAUCCUAUAGGAAUGCAUCAAAACGGGAACGGGGAGUCCUAACUUUGUGACUUGAUUUUUCCUUUGAUAGAAGGGGGAACUAGCGUGCUAAGGCUAUCGAGUAGCCACACUCGCUCGUUUCCCUUAUCAGAAGGGGACUCUUCAGGCAAAUGUACCCUAACUAGCAUGAGAUGCAAGACCUAAAGUGAGGGGCAAGGGGAAUCGAGGAGCAUGCCAGAUGAUAAAACUAAGGAAAAAUGCAUGAUAUGUAGUGAACAGGCAAACAAUGCAUUAAUGAAAAACAAAGGAAAAAUCCUAUUGGGUCUAGCGUUGGACUAGCCCUUUCUAUGAAUUCCUAAUGAAAUAAUGAGCCACAACUAGCAUUGAACUAGCGUGGUGACGUACAUUCAUCCAUUCCAUUCAUUCAUGGUUAUGAAAGCAAGUAGACAUGCCAAAACGCUCGUAAACACGUAGCACGUAGCACUUAGCAUGCUCGACUAGAUGCAAGAGCCUAUUAAAGCAAUUAAACAUGUAGCAACAAAAACAAGCAACCAAGGGGAAGGGGAAAUGGACCAGAUGCUCUACGAGCCCUAUCUAUUACAAGCCAAGAGGUGUACACAUACCCCAUAAAAACAUAAAGGGAAAGGGGAAAUGGACCAGAUGCUCUCCGAGCCCUAUCUAUUACAAGCCAAGAGGUGUACACAUACCCCAUAAAACUUAAAUAAAAGUGAAAGCAAGUAAAUGCACGCAAGGAGGUAAGGAAAGCGGAGUAGACAUGCAUAUUCACAUAACACGUAGGAUCACAUAGGAGAAAUGAAAUUCAAGGAGAUAGAGGUUACCUCCCUUGCAAUUGGGCCCCAAUGAAGUGAAAUCACUUAUUUAUCCUCCAAAAUAAAAGAAAUGGUCAAGGUACCAAUUUAUUUGAGAAAAUUAAAGAAAAUAGGCAAACACAAGCUCACUUGGUCAUAAAGCCCCUAAAGUCAUGAAUUAAAUGCAAUUGAAACAAAGCAUGGUAGUUAAUUGAAGCAAACAAGCAAUGAAGUUGCAAAAAUUAAAAUUAUCAAGGAUCAAUUUGAUGAAAUUCUUUAAUUGAUUGGGUCCUAGUGGAACAAGGAGAGACUUGGGGGCCAAAGUGUAAAAUCUGGAGAUUAUUCAUGCAAAUGCAUGCAAACCAUCGUGAAAGAACAUUCUUCAACAAAGCAAACGAAAUUGCUGCACCUUUGUUCCACUUUCAAACACUAAACCCGGAUUUGAUCUCAUACCUUAACCCAAGGCUUUCUUGAUUCAACAUCAAAUUUUGAACCAAACAACACAAAACAUGAACUUGACAUCCGAACUAGCAAAAUCAUAGGAGGAAAUCAUGCAAACAUAGAAAAAAACUUCAAGCAAGAAUGCAUGAAGAAGCUUUCUGCCGGCGAAAGUUUGAUGCCUCUCCAUUUACAAAUGCAUAUUUAUGGUCCGAAAGCAUGGCUCCAAUCUAGACAUCUUUACCAGAAAUCAAAAUCCUAAACUAAACAACCAAAAACCAAUGUUUACUUUACUGAAAACAACAAGGAAAACUGAACAUAGAAUCAGUAAAAACUUGAAGCAGUGAAUACUUAGCAAAGUUGGUGCUAUGGCCUGUUAUUAUGCCAUGUUUUGCUGCAACAAAAUGCAGCAAACGCACACAGUGGCAUCACUUUCCAACAACCCACAGAUUUGAAGACAAAUUUAGCUAACAAAACUUUAGUCAUCAGCAAAAAAACAACUCUGCCAACAUUGCUGCAAUAAAACAGAACUUAAGACCUGUUGCAGCAAACUUUCAUGCACUCGAGAUGUCGAUAAACGUUUCAAACUUAAAACCAACCUCAAAUUCCUACCCAAAUUGUAAUUCCAAAUACUCCCUCACGCAUACAAAAUCACACACCGAAUGCAAAACUAACGGCAGCUAUCAUGCCAAUGGGUUGUUAUGUAACAGCUUUAGAAGCAGAGCUGACAACUUCAUGAGCAGCAAAACUGUAGCACAGCAAAUAAAUAAAAAAACUCUCCAGCUAACAUAGGAAUUCACGGUCUUGGGCAACAAGGGAGGAGACUUCAAGGCACAAGGGACAGAUUUAAAUCAUUACAAGAAGAAAACAAGCAAGGGAACAAACGAGAAUGUGAGCCGACAGUUAACAAAAAAAUGUCUGCAGCAUUUGAGUUUCCUUUUGCUGCAAUUCUUUGCUAUCCAAACACUACUAACAGCUCAACUAACAACAACUAGGAGCAAAGUAACAAGUUCACAAGCAUGUUUUCCAUUUUUCACCAUACAAAUUUAGGUUUAGAUACCAGAAGUUCAUGCAAUUACAGGGAAUCAACAUUCUGCAAUUUUUAGUUCUUUCUUCAAACUUCAUCAUUCAACCAGGACAUCUAUAUGAAACAAAUCAAGCGAGCCCUAUUGAUGUCCUUAACCAAACCCAGAUGCUAUCCCCUCAAAACCCACGGCAGACAUGCUCUGAGAGCUUAAACAGAACCGAGAAUUUUUAAAAGAAAAGGACAGCUUACCUGCGCCUGCUUCGUGAAAUUAUUUUCAGGCAGUGGUGGGAAGUUCUAGUGAUGGUAGCGGACUGGUGGUGGCUUUUCUUCCUCCUUGAUGUGGUGGUCCUUGGAGGACCUCUUGGGAGGCAGUUGACCGCUCGUUGGUCACGCUAGAGAAGAAAAGGUGGCUGCUGUCUGGUGACCUCGAUGGAAGUUGCGUGCGGUGGUGGCGAUGACAGAACUUGGAGGUGGUCAUUUGUAGGCGGUGGUUAUGGAGGUUUGUGGUGGCUUGGGCUGAUAGCAUGAAAAGGAGUCUGGGCAGGCAACGGAUGGAGUUGAGAUGGCUGCUGUGGUGGUUGCAAGUUUUUCUCCUCGCCGAUCAUUGAAACCGAAACCUCCCCCCCCCCUCUGUUUUCUUUUCUGCGUUUUUUCCUCUUGCCCAGCCACCAGCUAGCUUCCCUUUGCUAUUUUCUCUUUUUCCCUUUCCCGUUCAACUCUCCGUUUCUAAACCCUCACAGCCAUCAACUCUACUCAGUCCUUCCUUUGCUUCUUUUCCCUCUUACUUCACAAAGCUUCUGGCUCACUUCCUGCCGUCACCAUCAAUCUUUCCUCUCUUUUCACUCUCGGCUCUUUUUCUUUCUUUUCCUUUUUGCUUGUGUUUCUAUCCCCCGUUGGUUCCCCUUAAAACCUCUGUUGCGGCUACCUUUCUUUUUGCUAUAUAUCAGACCCCCAAACCCUAAAAACCUCUAGUCCUUUUCCUGUAUUUGCAGCUUUGGGAGCCGUCCCAGAUUUCCUUUGCAAGCUGCGUAAAACGCAGCUUGCUGCCGCGUAUCAUUUUUUUUUUUUUUUUUUGAACUUAAUAACUUAAUAAAUACAGAAAUGAUAUAAAUAAUAAUAAUAAUAACAAAUUGCCAAAACCAGGUAAUAAUAAUAAUAAUAAUAAUGAAAAUAAUUUAAAAACUAAACAACUAAAAACAACAAAAAUGGCCACUUUUCCAUCUUUUUGUUUCAUUUUUCAUUUUUCAUCAUUUUCUUUUUCUCAAAAUAACUUAAUAAAAAUAACUAAAGUGCAAAAAGGUUGCAUUUAAAGAAAUAAAUAUAUUUUUGUGAACAAAUUUCCUUUUUCCCUUUUUUUUAUUUUCAUUUUCAUUUUUCUUUCAAGAAAGCAUUGAAUAAAAACAAAAUGACUAAAACAUAUUUUUUUGAAUGCUUUUCUUUUUCUCUUUUUUCUUUUUCAACAAAUUCUAUGAUAAAACUUAAAAAUAAAAAUAAAACUGGAAACUAAAAACUAAAAAUGAACACGACAAAUAAAAACUAAAAAAUGAAAUUACACCAAAAAUUUGGUGUCUACAGUUUGCCCCUCUUUGUCUGAGUUUUGAAAAAAUUUGAGACAAAGAAGUAGACACCAAAUACUUACCAGUGUUAUUCGGUUGCAAAAAUGAUCUGAACGGACAGGAAUUCUAAAAUGGGACUGACCCGAACAUGAAUUUAAAAUUGGGGAUAGACCCACGGGAUAGACCCGGACAGAAAUGUAAAAUUGGGAUAGACCCACGGGAUAGACCCGGACAGAAAUUUAAAAUUGGGAUAGACCCACGGGAUAGACCCGGACAGAAAUGUAAAAUUGGGAUAGACCCACGGGAUAGACCCGGACAGAAAUUGUUGUUUAGUUUAGGAUUUUGAUUUCUGGUAAAGAUGUCUAGAUUGGAGCCAUGCUUUCGGACCAUAAAUAUGCAUUUGUAAAUGGAGAGGCAUCAAACUUUCGCCGGCAGAAAGCUUCUUCAUGCAUUCUUGCUUGAAGUUUUUUUCUAUGUUUGCAUGAUUUCCUCCUAUGAUUUUGCUAGUUCGGAUGUCAAGUUCAUGUUUUGUGUUGUUUGGUUCAAAAUUUGAUGUUGAAUCAAGAAAGCCUUGGGUUAAGGUAUGAGAUCAAAUCCGGGUUUAGUGUUUGAAAGUGGAACAAAGGUGCAGCAAUUUCGUUUGCUUUGUUGAAGAAUGUUCUUUCACGAUGGUUUGCAUGCAUUUGCAUGAAUAAUCUCCAGAUUUUACACUUUGGCCCCCAAGUCUCUCCUUGUUCCACUAGGACCCAAUCAAUUAAAGAAUUUCAUCAAAUUGGUCCUUGAUAAUUUUAAUUUUUGCAACUUCAUUGCUUGUUUGCUUCAAUUAACUACCAUGCUUUGUUUCAAUUGCAUUUAAUUCAUGACUUUAGGGGCUUUAUGACCAAGUGAGCUUGUGUUUGCCUAUUUUCUUUAAUUUUCUCAAAUAAAUUGGUACCUUGACCAUUUCUUUUAUUUUGGAGGAUAAAUAAGUGAUUUCACUUCAUUGGGGCCCAAUUGCAAGGGAGGUAACCUCUAUCUCCUUGAAUUUCAUUUCUCCUAUGUGAUCCUACGUGUUAUGUGAAUAUGCAUGUCUACUCCGCUUUCCUUACCUCCUUGCGUGCAUUUACUUGCUUUCACUUUUAUUUAAGUUUUAUGGGGUAUGUGUACACCUCUUGGCUUGUAAUAGAUAGGGCUCGGAGAGCAUCUGGUCCAUUUCCCCUUUCCCUUUAUGUUUUUAUGGGGUAUGUGUACACCUCUUGGCUUGUAAUAGAUAGGGCUCGUAGAGCAUCUGGUCCAUUUCCCCUUCCCCUUGGUUGCUUGUUUUUGUUGCUACAUGUUUAAUUGCUUUAAUAGGCUCUUGCAUCUAGUCGAGCAUGCUAAGUGCUACGUGCUACGUGUUUACGAGCGUUUUGGCAUGUCUACUUGCUUUCAUAACCAUGAAUGAAUGGAAUGGAUGAAUGUACGUCACCACGCUAGUUCAAUGCUAGUUGUGGCUCAUUAUUUCAUUAGGAAUUCAUAGAAAGGGCUAGUCCAACGCUAGACCCAAUAGGAUUUUUCCUUUGUUUUUCAUUAAUGCAUUGUUUGCCUGUUCACUACAUAUCAUGCAUUUUUCCUUAGUUUUAUCAUCUGGCAUGCUCCUCGAUUCCCCUUGCCCCUCACUUUAGGUCUUGCAUCUCAUGCUAGUUAGGGUACAUUUGCCUGAAGAGUCCCCUUCUGAUAAGGGAAACGAGCGAGUGUGGCUACUCGAUAGCCUUAGCACGCUAGUUCCCCCUUCUAUCAAAGGAAAAAUCAAGUCACAAAGUUAGGACUCCCCGUUCCCGUUUUGAUGCAUUCCUAUAGGAUUCACGCAUUUCAUUCAUUCACUAUCACUUACUGUAUAUUCCAUUCCUCUUUCUAUAUUCUCACUUCACACUACUUUCAUUUUACACGUUUUUAUUCAACUACUUACACUCUAUACCAUAUCACUCGCACACAUGCACUUAAUGGCGUUUUCACCUUAUUAUUCUUCACUUACCUUACCUUGUAAAGACAUUUGCACACAUCCACUUAUAUCUUAUUACUUUUAUCAUUUUCUCACUUCACACAAACUCACACUUUCACAUGGCAUGCAUUCCACUCAUUUUUCACGUCAUUUAGGUUUAGGUGUGACCUCUCCAAAAGGAUCAUUAUUGGGCUUCACAAUUAAUGUGAUUGGCACCACCCAACCUUUGAAGAGAAAUUUCCCCCAAUCCCCCUAGGUCUAGGUUUUUGCAUCCAUAUAGACAUAUCCAAUACGCGAUACAUACCUUGGGUAGAAAAACUAGGAAAAAUUGGUUUGAGUCGCGCAACUAGCCUUGGCUAGGUCAAAGGGGUGCCUUGGAUUCUAUCCUUGCCUUCCCUUUUGUCAAACGUGACCCCCGAACCUUUUUCUUUGGCUUACGUGGACUAGGAGUCGUUUUAAAAGGGGUUUUACUACUUUGUCUUUAAAAAACACUUUUUGGGUGACUUGGUACACCCCAAAUCUAUACCAAGUGGCGACUCCGUUUUCAUAUUUAAAAAACCCUUUUUAAAAUUUCAUUUGGCCAAAUCGUCGCUUUCCAAAGUCCCAUGGCCUUUUUACUUUUCAUUUUGCACACGUUCACACCGCAUUACACACCACACAUCACACAUCCACACAAUCGAAAAGUGGGGCGCGACAGUUGGCGACUCCACUGGGGACUUCCUAAGUGGGUCCGAGCAUUUGACUUGGCCAUUCUUUUCCUUUUUCUACCCUUUUUUAUGCAUUGCAUUUGGAUAUUAGGGUUGCACUUUCCAUUUUUAGGGCCUUUUGCCUCGUGCGCGUAUCCAACUAUUCCCUCACUCACGUACGUGUGAUUGGUUGAUUGGAUGUAUGUUUACUUAUUUAUCUCGCGCUUGCAUUGCAUUUUGCACACGUUCACACCGCAUUACACACCACACAUCACACAUCCACACAAUCGAAAAGUGGGGCGCGACAGCCAACCAGCAGCACGCCGCCACAUCUCUCUCCAUCUCGCCGCCGCCAACCAGCCAUAUACCUCCUCGUGCGAGCUCCACCUGCUCGCAACUCCCCUCACCAGCUUUCUCUUCGCCAUCGAUCCAUCGCGGCCACGAGGAGCUUUGCCGCCGCCGCUGCUCAACGCCUCCACCGCGAGCUACCGCCAGCAGCACCAUAGGCAGCACCCACCUCGUGUCUCCGCCAGCGACGACCAGCUCGUGCGCCGCCGCCGCUCACCAACCACGCGCAGGCCACCUCGCAGCUCUCUCUUCAGCCGCGACCCCUCCGCACGCCACGCAGCUCCGACCGCGCGCUCCACCAGCUCUCCUUCACUGUCGCGCGCUUUGCCCGAGCCGACGCCGUCGCUGCUGUAGUCGCGCGCCGCCGCCCGUGCCCACGCGUAGUCGCGCUCCCUCGCAGCUCCAGCCCAAGGACGCCGCCUUUCCCCCGCGUCCUACACAGCGCCUCUUUUUCUUAGCCACUACUGCCCCAGUUUCUUCAUUCGGCCACUGGGAGAGGUAUUUGCUACUAAAUCCCCAAUUUUUGGUUUGUAUUGGAUUCACUUGAGGGUUUGUCAGUAGAGUGAAGUGGCAAUUGGAUUUUCUGCCUUAACCGUGCGGUGCACCAGUGCUAGCAAUUGUGCUAUUUUCCGUCGUAUUGUUGUGCUAUUUUGCUAUACCUGUGGUACUGGUGGAGUAACUGGACCUUGAUUUGGUACCUCUAUCUGGUUGACUGCGUUUGUAGUGUCAAAUAUCUAAGCCGUUUUCAUUGAAAUUGUUGAUUUUGAAUUAAGAUUUUAACUGGCCAACUGGAGCCAUUUGUUGAAAUUUUGGGUAAGCUGAAAUAUUGCACUUGUUUGUUAAAUUGGGAAGUUUCUAUGCUAUUUACAUUGCUUCCUCCAGUUGGGUGCAUCUAAUUGAAUUGCUGAGAAAUAUUCUGACCAUUGCUUUCAACUACUAAGUUCGUUGAGGUUUCUUUUAGGAUUCUGGUUGAGUUAUUUCUAAUAUUGCCUAUUGAAUCAGGAGCUUGUGCUGCUUAAUUUGCCCCGUUAGGAGCUGGUUUGCUUGUUAGAAUUUUCUGUGACGGUUAACUAACGUGUUCAUCUUAGUGACUUCAACUAUUUCGUUGGGUGGAAGUGAAUUCUGUGCUUUGAACCAUUAGGUCGUUGAGAUAAUUUCACUUGUUUUUGUGGGUAGAUGCCUGAUUGCCAGUUGAGGGUAUAUAUUGAGUCGUUAUUGCCGAAUCACUGCACUACUGUUGCCUGACUUGUUGACUUGUUGACUGCUGGGGGCAAUUGUUGAGCUUUUGGGUGCAAUUGUUGAAGUUCUUGGGUGGGCUGGAAUUUUAACAAUUGUCUGUGAUAUUUUGGGAAGAAUCUCGGCCAGUGUUGUGCUUGUUGAAAUUUUGGUUGAUUUAAUUCGGCAACUGCAUUCCUUGUUGGCAUUAGUAGUUUUUAAUCGAGUUUUUGAGGACAUUUUGGAUGUUGGUUUAUAUUGCUGAUUUGGAGGAACAGUGUCUGUGAUUUUGGUCUGAUCAUUUGUGCAAUUUGUUGACUCAUUUUGUGACGACCCCAUCUCCCCCUAAGGCGAACCAGAGGGUUCGGCGGCCGCCUGCCCGGCUCUCGCCGGGACUCAGUCGUUCACUAAAGUUCUCAAAUGAAUUACAAGAAUAAACCUCAAAUAUACAUCACAUUGUCCACAAAUAUACAUUCAAAUCUCCAAUAAUUACAUGUCACAAAUGCAGCGGAAACAAUUCCCAACUAUACAUAAAAUGAUUCCAAAUCCAAAUUGUACAACAUAAAGGCCAUCCAUUCACGUGAAUAAGCACAACAAGUCCUGCCUUUGCCUUGAGCCCUGUGGAGGGGAAUAAAAUAUUUUUGGGGUGAGCUAGAAACUCAGCGAGUAACCAGAAAAUCAGUAAUCAAAUCGAUUUAACAAUAUUUCUUUUCAAUGAUGUCAUAAAUCAAUGAUGUCAUAAAUCAAAUGAUAAGUCCAGAAACGAUUACAGCAUUUACAAAACAUUAAAUAUGGAGUAUCAAUAAUUCAAGAAACAUGUACAAUGGAAAGCGAUAGUAACAUUCAUGAAAAGGAUACGUUCAUUUUUUAUAAAUAAUCCCUCGUUCAUCUUUUUAUUCGUUCAUCUUUUUUUUUUUCCGGACGUUGGCCGGUCUCCACCCAUCCGGACGUAGCCGGACUCCACCCAUCCGGACGUAGCCGGACUACAAGGUAAUACUCGAGUAUACCAAAUUCACCCAGGGUCACCAUAUCGCCCGACCGAGUCCGCUUCUGGCUCGAGUCGAUCGGUAACGAAGGGCAGUGCCCAGUUCAGCCAAACGGCUUACAUUCAUGCGCAACUAGCAUUUAAUCAUUAAUCAUUGAAAAUUUCAUAUUUAUUUAGGUCGAGUGCGAUAAAGUACACACUCGCCUAGAAAACUCGUUUUAACAAUCAUUGAAAGCACUUAACACAUUAUCAAUCAAUAAUAACAAGCCAAUAAAUCAAGGAAUACAGCCAACAAGGAACACUCAUAUGCAAGCACGCAUGAUAUGCAAGAAAACAGUUCAAAAGUAACUUUGGAAACAGUUUAAAGGUAAAUAAUGUAAGAAAACGGUUCGAAAGUAACUUUGGAAACAAUUCAAAAGUAAAUAAUGCAGCAAACGAUUCAUAAAUAACUUUAGAAAUAGUUUGAGGUCACUCACCUCAAUGGCUCAGAAAUCAUCAUCAUAUAACAUUGCCUUGCUCAAACCCAAGUCUUAGAUCACAAACUCAAUGCAAUCAAGUCCUUUCAAAGUUCGGACAGCACUUCCCCUGAAUAUGCUUACUUUUCCAGCCAUCAUGGCUUCAUUAUAUCUUCAGCCAGUCCCAAAGGUACACACACAACAACAAGUUCAUACAAUAGCCAUUCAGCAAGCUCCAAGUAGUACUAGUACAAGUCAAGCUAGGGAAAAGUCCGGAAAUGAAAGUUUAGCUCAAAACCAGAAAAAAUAUUUUGACGUCAUUUUGCGGUAAUGGUACCAAAGGCACUACGAUUGUCGGAUGAAGGUACAAGAUACACCGUUUCGAAGCUAAGAGAUAGGACUACAAUAUUGAAGAAGGUCACUCAACCCAGUUUCGAGUGUAACCAGGUCAAAAAUGCAAGAUACUACACCAGGAAUCACAAAAACAGAUUCACAGAACGUAUUCUAGCGGAAACAUCAUAAAUCAGGCUAUCCAACUCCAAAUCCAGAAAUUCCAAAACCAGCUGAAAGGUAAGAAACAGGGCUAAAUUUCAUCAGAAGGCCUCAACAACCAAUUCGGAAGCAAUUCCAGCCAAAACAACCAAUUACAGUCGCAAAUCCCAAUUUCGGGUAAACCAGAACAGCAAUAGUAAUUUUGACUUUUCUCACUCUACGCUACUCCGAUUGACCUGAAAUUUUGUAAGCACCUUUAAAAUGUCAUUCCCUACAACUUUCAUGUUUUAAGAAAAUGCCAAUUCGGCCUCUAUCUAGGACCUAAAAAUUCGGACAGAAUGCUCCUUCACAAAACCUGAUUUUCUGAAAUUUCUUCCAAAACAGAAAUUGAUUGCAAUUAAUCACUUUUUCCACCUCAUAGAGUCCUUAAAUAUCAUUUCCAAUCAUCAUACAUGACCCCAUAAUCAUAUUCAUAUGAAAACAGAAAAAUCCCCAAUAAUUAUAAAACUUCAUCAAUUCAACCAAAACUCAAGAAAUAAUCCAUAAAACCAUCUCUUUAGCCAUCACAAGUCUCUAAUUUAGCAUAAUCAAGAACAAAGAAAGGAUGGCUAGACAUGAUACCUUCAAAUAUCAAGAAAGGUGAUGACUUAGGGAUUUUUCUUCCAAAACAACUCCACCAAGAGCUUCAAUCUUCCUUAGCUAGCAAGUUUUAUGGAGUGAUUUGCAAUUUAAUCGGUUGGAACUCAAGAUUUGGACAAGAAAUUGAAGUGCAAGAUGAUGGAUUUUCUCUCUCUUUUUCUCUCAAAAUUUCGUCCAAGACAAGCUAAAAUGGAGAGAAAUUGGGUCCAAAUUGGUUUUAGUAAAGUUAGAAAAGUCUUGGUCAAAAGUCAAGGUCCAAUGGUUUUGUGACAAAUGGUCCUUUAGGGUUUUAAUCUUAUCUUUUUGUCUCUCCAAUACAAAUAUCUUAACACAUUGUAAAAUAAUAUCACUUAAUACAAAAUUCCAACAAGUUGUCAAAAAUAUAAUGCAUUUACCGCACUUGCGGGUCCCACGUCCAAAAUAGGCUUUUAAUUUCUCAAAAACUAACCGAUACUAGAAAAAUUAUUUUAAAACUAUUUUUGCUCAUAAACUUUAUCUGGGGAAUUUUUCUAAUCAAGAAAAUGUAGAAAAGGCGGGCGUUUAAAAAAUAAACCCUAGAGAAUUAGAAAAUUUCCGGGUUCUCAAACUCUUUUUUUUCGGGGCGUCACACAUUUGCGGACUUAUUUGUUUCUUGGGUUUGUUUAUUGACUUCGGUGGACUGGGUUCCCACCUACGGUUCCUCUACUUGCUCUAUUCAUUGGAAUUCUAGUCGCCUAUUGCUCUUCUUUAGAGGUUUAGAAUCUUUCUUGUGACUAGAUUAAUACUUGGGGCUAUUGCUUUAAUACUGCUCUACUCUACUAUAGCAAUUUCAUUGAUUUUGGACUAUGUUUUGCACUAAUGAUACUGGUUGGAAUAUUUCCCCUUGCAUGUGUCAGUUCUACUUGGUUGGAUACUUGAUUGACUGCUGGGCAUGUGUGACUGGGUUGUUCUUGUGCAAUUGGAGAUAUUUAGAGGGAUUUUGGGUGGGCAAGUUGUGUCGCUCUCUAUUGAUAUUUGGGAGGCACCGGUGGCUAUUAAAUUGUUAUUGCUUUGAAUUUUCUGUUUACAUUAUCUGUGGGCAAUUUUGUCUCUUGUUGAUUGAAAUGACAUUUGGAGAAAAUGGUAAGACCCGAGCCCUCUUCUUCUGCGCCUCCCCCACCGAUGGCCUCUGAUGUUAAGUCGCACCACUUGCGAGCUCAGAUUCAUCACGUAGUUGAGAGAGUGACGAACAUCACCCGCCAAGUGGCAAGGAUGUCUCAGAACUCGGCUUCCCUCCACUGUUCCCUCCUAUCCCUUAGCUGUUCAACAGGGAAGUUUCAUUGUUCUCUUCGCUUUAAUUACUUUAUUACCUCCAUUGAGGACAAUGUAGGAUUUAGGUGUAGGGGGAGCAGUUAUGGUGCUAGUGUCUUUCGUUCAUUUUCUUUUUCUUUUUUUUAGUGAUUAGCUCGUAUGGGAUGCCAAGUUUGAUGUUGGAUUAUUGCCUCUAUUUCUACUUUUGCCAAGUUUUAGUAAUAAAAGGGUAUCAAGUUAAUGUGGUUGAGUUCAGGAAUAUCCCUUUGGUGAAUAUCAGUAAUUGAUUGACUUUUCUAAUUUUUGGUUAACUUUUCUAGACAUAGGGAAUGAUUGUUGGCAUUUUCAUGUGAAUUGGUCCGAUUAUUAACCUUAGUUCUCCAUAUUUGAAAAUGAGGCUAGCUGAUGCAAGUUUUCUUUUGGUUCUUGUGUUAUAGUGAGUUCUUGUGAAUUUUAGCUAUGAAUAAACUUGACUGUACUCCGCUAUUAGUUACUACUGAGUAACCGGGGAUCUGCACCUAAAAGUGUUGAUUCUCGCGUCAAAAGGUAGUAAUUCCUAUGAGUACGUGGUCACAUGGCGAUAAAAGCUGAGUAACCGGGCUCCUUCAUCUGGCCAAUGUUGGAGUUCGCGUCAAAAGGCUCUAAUGGCUAACGACUAAGUCUUUUGUUACUAUUUAGAAAAGAAAAAAAAAAGAGAAAAGUAGAAAAAUGUGAAAAAAAAAAAGUGAAUGUUGUGUUAGUGUACAAUAAAAGUCAGCUUGUCGAUUUAUGGAUUUAAUGUUGAGAUUUUGGUUAAUAGUUGGACCAUUUGCUGAUAAAUGUUGCGCGUCAUUCCUUUUUCUUAGAUUAGUUAACCUGGAAUUAGAGGAGUUUGUGGUUUAGAAGCUAACCGGAGUGAUGUUUCUUGGACUUGACCAUUGAUGUUUGAUUAUUAUUUUUCUUGGUAUCUUGGCAAUUUGUUGGAUAGAGCAAUAGUCAUUGUCAAAUAUUGGUGUUUGUUUACUGUUCUUAUGCUUGAGGGCAAGCAUGAUUUAGGUGUGGGGGGAAUUGAUAGGUUACAAUUUUAUCAUUUAUUUUAUUAUUAAUUUUCCCUAUUACCUGACCUGAUGUGAAUUAAUUAUUAGAUUCUACUCACUUUUCGUAAUUUACAUUUAUUUCAGGGAGUAGAACAAAAAUAUCACAAUCAAGACCAAUUUGACAGUUAUCGAAAAAGAGUUCAAAUAGCAGACAAUCAAGAGCAUUCUUGAAACAAGGAGAUGCGACCCUUUCUGGUAAUUUGUGAAAGACAGCAUAAAAGGAGAAGGAGGAACACAGGACUAGGCGUUCUUUCCCUUGGGGGGCUAGAGCCACCGCACAGAGCCAGGCAUUAGAAUAGGACUUUUGAUAGAGGGAGGAGUAGAGGAUUUUUCCUCCUGAAGCUUAGUUUUCCUUUGACUUUUCCAUCGUAGCUUUUGAGGGGUGUAUACACGUCUAUUGUGUCAGCACCUAAAUUGCAUGGCGUGUAUGGCACUAAAUUUCCAGUUCACCUUUCCUACUUAAUGCCUUGCUGAGGCCUCUACUCUGAUUGAGAAACCUUAUAACUGCUGGGGCCUUCUAUUGUGCAAAAAAUCUCAACAAAAUAAUGGUCUGACCCAAGAAGCACAAGAAAGUAUUGUCCUUAACAAUUAGAAUGUCAAAGAAAAAAAAGAGGGAAAUUGACAAUGAUGUUAUGAUUUUAGCUACAUUAUUCAUCUCAUUUUUCUAGUUCCGGAGAAACAAAAUAAAAAGAUUUCACUAAGUUUGCCUUUUGUAAUGUACCGCGCUGGGCUUUGUCCCCCCCCUUAAUAGAAGUUAGAAAUUCGGCUUUUAUAAAUCUAACUUCCAGAAAAAACUUCAAAAACCCGCAACUUUCUGGGGACUUAUAAACCCAAACCCAACGCUUCCCCAGAACCGAUGUGGGAUGGCAACCCCACAAGGGCAAGCCAGUCAAAUGCCCCAUUUUUUGCUAGAAUCUGGGGUUCGUUAAGUUGUCCAUUUCCCUGGAAUUACUUAUUUUGCUUCUCGUUUGGUUCUAUUAUACUAUACAGAAUUAUAUGUAUAUAACGUGGAUUGUCAUCUUAAGAAUCAAGAUUGCCAAUCUGAUCACGUAAAUUGGCCAGAAAUUGGUUGGAAUUCUUUGCAUUUUUCACUUGUGGAAAUAGUUAAAAGAACAGUCACUAAUAUACCUGCAAGUUUUCCAUCACCUCAAACUUUCAUAAAUUUAACAACUCACUAGAAAAAUGCACUAAUAGAUUAUACAAUAAAGAAGAUAGCGAAAGCGUGCCAGCAUAGAAAAGUAGAGCGCGAUUAAUAUUUUUCUAAAUUAUUAAUUAAUUUGAGUCUCUGGAUUUCAAGAAGUCUAAUAAUCAUAUUUAGUACAUUAGCAACAAAAGGAAGAUAAAUGAAAUUGGGCCAAAAACAGUCUGGGCCAACUAGUACAUUUUCCGUUUAUGGGCAAUCAGAUGAAAAGCUAGUGGAGCAUGUGUUUAAGAGUAAAAUGCAGUUUUGGUAUUCAAAUUUUGACUCUUGAACAAUUUUUUUAGUAUCUAAACUUUAAACUUUGAAUGAAAACAAAUUCGAUAUGCACUUGACGGAUUUUUUGUCCAAUUUUCACUAGAAAAAAAAAAUCCCAUGUUGUCAUGUGUCUGGCAACAAAAUUGUUAAAAGAAUUCCAAAAGAAUUGAUGAUGGCCAGGCUAAGGAAUACUAGAACAUGGGUCAUCAUUUUAAAAGAAAUAAAUUAAUCUAAACAAAUAAUUAAUCGAGCUAAUCAUAAUACGCUCAAAACUUCCCUCUUUUCUCCUCUCCUUUUUCAUACCUUUCAUAAACAAACACCUUAAAAAAUAACUAUUCAACUAUUUGUCACAGUAAAUAUAAAAAGUACUGGAGCAUAUAUCCGAGAUUUAUAAAACAUUUGUAUGUACUAUUUUUUUUUUUUUUUGGUCGACACAGGGGUGUCCGGAUCAAUCCUUACGGGGCCCGACUAAUCCAUUUGUCGACUACGUAUGUACUACAUAUGUAGAUUUUAGAACUUUGUCAUACCAUUGUAUGACGACUCAAGUGAUAUUAACAGCUGGGUCAAUUUGAAGUUGUCAACAAAAGCUACAAGUGAUUAAUGGACUAAUAAGUCUAAUUUUAAGCACAAGAACCACCUUCUAGAAACUUAUCUAUUUUCUUUAUUUAUUGAUAGAAAGAUAGGCAAAUUUUAUUAAUAGCAUACUAAAUCUGCUUCAAGAACAACAAAAACAAAAAUAAUAAAAUAAGGUGCAUUACACGUGUCGACAUUGAAGUAAAAUUUCUCCUUUCAAUUUUAAAAUAAUACUACUUAUCAUCUUACUUAUAACUUACAUACUAAUAUGUGAUGAAAAAGGAAAGGGAAAAUGGCAGUCAUAAUUGCAGCUCAGGCAACCUUUUUUUUUUUUUUUUUUUUUAAUCUAAUUUGCUAAUUCUUGGGACAUAAGGAUAGAACUGACUUCAUCUAAAUAAUAAUAAUUCCUUGACAAACUUGAAUGCUAUUAAUUGCCAUAGAAGAUGCUUGGCAAUUUCACUAUUUGGCCUUUCUUAAUCAAUCCAUGAGGCUUACAUCUUGGACAAAACUUGGACGCUUUCUCAAGAAUGACAGAUAGCUGCGUUCAACUGCCAAAAUGUAAAUGAGAAGGGAAAUGAUAAUCAUAGGUGGUGACAUGGGCAACAUCAAUCAUGUCAUCUGUUAAUCCAGAAAUAAAUUUGAAAAGAAUAAAAGAUAGGAGUUUAUUUGGAUGAUUUAUUUGAAAUAAUUACUGUAGCACUUUUUGUGAUGUGAUAUAUGUGAGAUAAAAAGGUGAUUGGAAAAAUAAAAAGGCAAUUGAAAUUUGUGAAGCAAAUUAUUUUAUCUGAAAUCAAGGCAAUCCAAACAAGACGAAUAAAUUGGCCUUACUAACUAUCCUUGGGAAUUAGACUAACAGCAUAACUGGAGUAAUAUUUGUUUGCUUAAAAACUUAUUUGGAUGUUUUGAAAUGGCUGUGGUUGUUUGACAAAUUUGGAUGCUUUUGUAUUGGCAUUUUUACUUAACUUUCUCAACUAUUUUGAUUGUGGACAAUAUCUCAAUGGUUGUUGUAUUUAUGAAGGAGAAUAAUUUAUGUCUAAGAUAAAAUUGAACUCGGAAUCCUUUACUUACAACACCUCCCACCUUAUCGCCCACACCCAAACCUCUCCAACUUGAAUCAUAAUUUGGUCUUAAUCACUUAUCCUCAAGAAUUAGAAUUAGAAUGCGCAUCUUAUUUUGUUUGGUUCCCUCAAGUGGCAGAGCAAGAAUUUUUAUCGGAUCAAUUAAUGGUCAGUUUUUGACUAAUGAAAAUAUUCUAAAUAAGAUUGUGAAAUCAAUUAAUUUCAUAUACAAUCCAAAUAAGAUUAUGAACUCCUUGUUUGUUUAAUUAAUUUCAUGUGCUAACGAUUGUACUUGCCAAAUAAUUGACGGUGACUUUAAUAAAAUUUCUUUGUUAGGGGUCAAAGUUCUUCCUUUCAGCACUAACUGUGUUACAUUCUGAUAUAUAGUCCAUGUUCUACCCAUCUCAAACUUUCUAUAUUAUUUCUAGGUCCGAGACAAAUAUUUUUUGUUUUUGAAAGAAAAAGUUUGAAUGAUUUCGACCCUAGUUAUCACCAUGGUAAAAUACGGUAUACUUUUAUAUUUAUUUAUUCAAAAAACAGAGGUCCGACUAAGAAUCCGGCUAACUGACAAGAAAAAAGCAGUGUCAAUCGAUUGAUUUUGGCCCAAGGAAAGUACUUAGCAGUUGAAUAUUCUCACUCAGUAAAAUGGUCAGAUCCUUGAGAAUCUCAAAGUAGAAGCAAUGAUUCUAUUCCUUAAACCUGAAACAAUUUUCCGUGCUUAGACAUACUUUGGAAUAAAGCAUCAUUUCUUUUAUGAAAAAAAAGACAAUCUUGUAUAUUUGGUUAUUUGACACAAGACGUCAAUACACUUCAAAUGAAACAGUGAAUCCAACAAAUAAGGCAUGACAAGCUGUGAUUAAUGCCAUACAAACGUGAGUUUAUCUUUACGAUUUAUUCAGGAAGUUGCUGUUAGUUUCAUUAAAUUAACAGAGAAGAUAGUGAAGAGUGAAGGGCAGAGCCAUUCCAAAAUGCCAAAGAGGCAGAGAGAUUAUAAAGAUGAUCAACUAACUAAUCAUAAUCAGCCACAUACCCUUCAAGAAGGGCAUCAUACAGGGAGGCUUGAAAACAACUUUUAGUCCAACAUAACGACAUUCAACACAAAUAGCCAAAUAUCUGAGGUUUGAGAAAUGACAGCAAUUGUUGCAGUCAAGCAAUAGCAAUGAAAGGGGGGACUACACAUCCAAAAGAAGGCACAACAAUAUGAUCAGUGUGGAACAAAAUUUGCAUUAUAAACUAAUUCAGAGCCAGCUACAAUGUCACAGAAGAACAGGCAAUAGGCAUGAAACUUCCAAUACAGGGAUAACAACACUUUUUCUGUGUCCUACUUGGUCCGACCAGGGACAAAAGAACAUCUGGCCAAAUUAAAACAGAGAGGUUGGAGCUACAAUCCUUGUGAUUUCAAGACUACUUCAUUAAAAGUAAUGUUCAUUACUACCGGAGAUAGGCUGGAAAAAUUCUUUCAAAUGCAGUUCAAGAACUAAGUAGAAACUGCUGAAACCAGUCACAUUGCUCGAAAAUUUAAAAAGAACAAAAAAAAAUGAGAAAGAAGAAGGGAAAAAGGAACUGCUUAGAAUCAGAGAGAGAAGAGGGACUUCUGAGAGCAGCACUAAUCGGCGGGGACAACUCUGGCAAGUGGAUGGCAAAGACAGCACUAAUCGGCGAGGACAGCACCAAUCCCUUCCCUUUUGUGUAGAAAUAAGUUCAUCUGAAAGUUUUUAUUAUUUUUAGGUAACUAAUUAUGAUUAUUACUACUACUACUACUUUCUGUACCGAUACAGACAUGAGAUGAUUUACUUAUAUUGGCCGUCAAAGUCUAGAGGCAUAGAAAAGUAGAAAUGCUUUCCUUGUAACAUAUCCUGAGCUAAUGAUAUGAGGCCAAGAUGUGUAAGAUCCAUGUCACAUUAGUGCUUCAUGGAACAAUAUUGACGUACAAGGAGACAAGUUCGCAUAGAAGUAAUUUUACAAAUAGAUGCUAUGUUAAAUGUCAGUUUGAUGAACUAAGGUUGACCUUAUAUGUUCCUAUAUAAUCCUGUUCAAUUGAUUUCCAUAAUUUCAUCUCUCCAACGUUCCCAUCCACCAAGUGGGAUCCUUUCUUGCAUAGAAAUGGGUACCUUAGCAAUUCAGUUUUCUAAAUUGCUCUCGAAUUAACAUAUAUAGAAGGGCUCAACCUGACUGAUUCUUUGUGCUCUGAGUCCUGUCUGAGCUUUACAGAUACAAGGAGCAAUGGAAAAGUAUCAUUGGACACAACCAUGUAGUCAACUGCAAAACACUGAGAAAAAAAUAUGUUGACUGUUGUAGAGCUAAGAUACAACUUCAAGAAGGAUGCAAGCAGCUAUCAGGGUUCAGCUAAUCCACAUCUUUCUGCUGCAAAAUACUGGCUACUUUGAACUACAAGCAGCACGGAAGAUAUGGCAAAUUGAGUUCCAAAAGAAGUAAAAGAGCACCUCAUUAACAUGUUUACAAAUUGCUGAAUCGGUUGGACAGUUUAAA